UUUUUUUUUUUUUGUUGUUGUCAAAACUAUAGAUCCUGGCUCUAAAUUAAUUAAGUUUCUUUUUCUUCUUAUGCUCUGGUAUUGUUUCAGACUUGGAACCCAGCGGCUUACAAUCUGUUACUAAUAACAGUUGUGAUUAACACUGUAAUCUCAGGGCCAGUUGUGGCUUUGUUAAUAAGAAGAGAAGAAAAACUCUUCACUCACACACACACCUCCCUCGGCUUUGAGCCCGAAAAUCCCGACCAAAACGAGCUCCGCCUCCUCGCCUGCGUCUACGGUCCCCGCCACAUCUCUGCCAUCCUCUCCGUCAUCGCCACCAUCCGCGGCACCCAAACAGCAUCCAUCAUGCCCUACAUGGCUCACCUUAUCGAGCUCAACCAAAAACGACGCACCAACGUGUCGUAUCACGAGCUCGAAGCCGAGGAAAUGAGCGACGAGGAAGACUACGGCGGCAACGACGUCCUCGAAAUCCAUGCAGCCGUCGACGCCUUCACUGCCGAGACCCAGAUCCUAAUCAACCUCAACAAGGCCGUGUCCACGUUGUCGAAUUUACAUGAGGAGGUGUGUAACGCAGCCGAGGACUUGCGUGCGACGAUUAUUUUGCUGCCGUUUCACAAGCACCAAAGGAUCGACGGCAAAAUGGAGUCCGGGAAGGACGCUGUACGGACCACGAAUCAAAAGAUUCUUCGUCACGCCCCGAGCUCUGUCGGGAUGAUCGUCGAGAAAGGGCUGGCCGGGGCGUUAGGGUUUUCGCAGUUGUUUACCGUGGACAUUAUGCAACAUGUUGCGACGCUAUUUUUCGGGGGGCCCGAUGACCGCGAGGCCAUUGCUUGGAGUACAAGGAUCGCAAACCAUCCAAGGGUUAACUUGACGGUGGUUAGGUUUUUGGCGACGGAGUCAUCCAACACUCGGAAUAUGAAGGUGGAGAAUGAAACGGGAGGCAAUAGUGAUAUUGAGGUUUACAUGGCCUUGUCGAGUUUAGAAACGGGCAAUGACAUUGACAAUGCCUUUCUCAAUGACUUCUAUAAUGGGUACGUACCACCUCUAUAUUUAUCUUAUAGUGCGAAUGUUAAUGAAUAACUAUUAAUCAAAUUUUCUUAUAGUUUUUUUUUUUUGGGUUUCAAAAUAAGCAUAUGGAUAUUUUCAAUAAACAUUUGUGUCUUAAUUGGUUGGGUAGGUAUGUGGCGUCUGGUAAAGUUGGGUACGUAGAGAAGCAGGUAAAUAAUGGAGCAGAAACAGUGGCAGCCCUAAGAGACAUUGGAGACUUGUACUCUCUGUUUAUAGUAGGGAGGGGUGGUCGAGGACACUCACCAUUGACAACCGAGCUCAGUGAUUGGGAAGAGUGCCCUGAACUUGGAACAGUAGGAGAUCUCUUGGCUUCUUCAGACUUCAAUAUCAAUGGCUCAAUCUUGGUCGUCCAACAACAUAGAAAUUCCAAGAAAGAACUUGUAGAUGAUUAGCUAUAUAUUGUGAAUUUAUAAUUAUUUCAUAAUGUAAUUUAGUGCUUCCUUCAAUAUUGUACAUACUCAAAUAUAUAAUAGGGUUUUCGACUAUGGCUGGAUCAUCCUAGUUUCUGUCUUAUAUAUCAUUUAUACAUAUACAAGAAAAGGCCUCAUUAAACUUCUUGGUCCUUAUCAUAGGGAAAUCUUUAAUCUUUAAAGGGUUAGCCCAAAAAGCCAGACCACAGCGUCCGAAUCGGAAUCCAUUUCGAAAUAUGUUUCAGAAAAUUGCGACAUGGUGGAUGAACAUGAAGCUCUUAAGAAUGCAGUUCACAUGCCCAAUGAAUGUGACCUGAACUUAUAACCACAUCAUGUAAUCUAGGCAGAAGGCCUUAUAAGUGAAACAUUCAAAAUCCUCAUCUUAAAAGUGAAACAUUCAAAAUCCUCAAAAUUUCUAUUGAUUAAUAAAAAUACUAAAACAUAAGACGCUUUAUUAAAUAGGGACUAAAUAAAACAUUCACAAUGUAUUUAAAUUAUAAAAAAAAAAUUGUACUGCAGUUGUCCAUAAAAGCAGGAGACAACUACCUUCAAAACUUACCAUUUGAAUAUUAAAUUGUUUAAUUUAUAAAACUUAGUAAAAAAAAUCCAAUUGGCGCACGCGUGAGAGUGUACUAAAAGGGGCGCCAACGGGGUCUAACCUAGUGGAAAAGGUCCUUAACUUGCAGAUCAGUGAUUUCAAGUUCGAACUCCUAUACCACAUUGGUAGUGUGUAUGAGAAAUCCCUUACUUUUGUAAUUUAGACCAUCACUUGUAUUUUUGUUUAAAAAAAAACAAAUGUGCCACUUCAUUAAUUGAUUUACGCAAUACACCCAUUGAUAGUUUGCAAUCAUUUAGAUUCUCUAAUUAUGGAGACAGUGAGCACUUAAAAACUCAUUUUAAUAAAAUACGAAUGUAUUUUCCAUUUUAAUAUGAAUUGAUUACCAUUAAUACUUAUGAGUGGCCAAAGAAGACUUGAAUAAUCUUGAUCUUUGAUCAAACUAUAUUGAAGAAUAUAAGUCCCACAUCGAAAACUUGACUAAGUAAAAUAUAGUAUACAAUGAAUGGUUCCAUUAUUAAUAUCACCGAGGCCUUUUGUAUAAAACCCCACACCUGCUAAACAGGUGGUUAAGUUGGGGACAAUAUUGAUGUUGCUAGUGCUGGGCUAAGAGUCUGUCCCUCUGAAAUCUUAACAUGGUAUUAGAGCCAGGUUACUAAUCCUUGAGAUCCUAUGACAAAUUGAGACUCAUUGGCAUUCCUUAUUCCUAACCCAUCAUAGGUCUUCACCUUGCUGUAAAUCCCCGUUUCUCCUUUCCUUAAUAAUCAACAUAUAUUUCUUAUGCCUUAGCCAUAACCGCACAUUUCUGCAAUUUUACCCUUGUCUCUGUCCUUGCCAUGUUUAUGUUGAGUCAUUACCUUUAUUUUUCUCUACCUAUGCCUGCUGCUGCCUUUUUUCUCUUACUUUUCAUCUCUCUAUGAGCUUGCUUUAUGUUAAAAUCAGAUUGAGCCCAUGUUAGUUUCAAUCUCUUGCGCUCACAGUCGAGCCUCUCUUUUAAAUGUAUACCAUAUGGGCAACACGCCCCUUGGCCAUUGAUGGCCUGAUCUCUUUCCUCCAUGAGCCUCGUCACUGCUCAUCGAGCCAUCUCAAACCUCUGCAAGCCUCGUCACAGCUAGCCAAGCCUUCUCAUAGCUGGCCUUUGUCUCUCUAUUUAUUAAGGUGUUACUUUCUCCAAAUCUCAACUCUCAUACAUCGUCGGAUUUGAGGGGAAGUGGCACUGCUGCUCAUCUAUUCCAUUGCAAUUCACCUACCUAUCUAUCAUGGUUGAUUGUCCAUGUCCGUUUCUCAAGUACCACUGAUCAUUUGGCUCUAUCGACCCCUUCUUUUUAGGGGGAGAGGGAGAGUGAAGAGAAAUUGUCUCUGUUGUUGCUGCUGCCACAGUUGUUUGCCUUGCCUUGUCUUGCUGGUGCUAAUAUCUUAUAUUGCUCUUGCUGGUGCCAGUGCAUUGUGUUGCUCUUACUGCUGUUAGUUUUGUUGUCUCUUGCUGGGGACAUUGUUGUUGUUGCUUCUAUCGUGUUCGUGCCUUUGCUGGUGUGUUUUUUCCGCUGCGAUCAUGACCAUUGACCUUGCCUUUGUUUGCUUCGCUUUUCGUUGCUAUGGUUUUUGCUGAUGAUGUUGCCAUGUUUUUUAUCUGUCUCUUCCUUAACCUUAAACAAUACAUAUUUCUGCUGCACUAUACACCUAGCCCAUAAUCCUAGCCCGCCACCAUCAUCUACCUUGCUACCGUUGCUGCCGCCUACCUUGCUAUUGCCUCCGAUGCCGCCACCCAACCAUCCAUCAUCAUUCCCAAUGUUGAUGCCUUUAUUUCUUCACUUGCCUCUUGUUCUGCCUUACUUAUUGUCGUGCUCGCAGGGUUUCUAUGUUUUGCCUUAUCUACUGCCGUGAUCACAGGGCUUUUGUGUUAUGCCUUACCUACUGCCGUGCUCACAGGAUUUCUGUGUUCUGCCUUACCUACUGCCGUCCUCACAGGGUUUCUGUUUUCUGCCUUACCUAUUGCCGUGCUCACAGUGUUUCUGUGUUCUGCCUUAUCUACUGCCAUGCUCACAGGGUUUCUGUGUUCUACCUUACCUACUGCCGUACUCACAGGGUUUCUGUGUUCUACCUUAUAUAUUGCCGUGCUUACAGAGUUUCUGUGUUCUACCUUACCUGCUGCCGUACUCACAGAGUUUCUGUGUUCUGCCUUAUAUAUUGCCAUGCUCACAGGGUUUCUGUGUUUUGCUAUGUGCCUUAUUUUUUACGGUUUGCUCUUGUGUUUUCAAUGCGAACUUUGCUUUAGUUUGUCACUUGUUUCACUCGUGGUUGAUGAAAAGACCUUCUCUACAAUUGGUGCUUGUCAAGUAUGGUGUUCUGUGACUCGCUUGUCAAGUUCGGCGUGCGAAAUAUCUUUGCCCAACUUGAGGGGGAGUGUUGGCGAGUCCUUACUUAGUUAGGAUUUUGGUUCCUUAUUUUAUUAGAAUUUUGGUUACUUACCAAUUAUUAUUUAGUCUUAUUGUAAUAGAGAUUUACUUCCUAUUGUAAUUUAGAUAUAUUUCCUAUUUUAUUUAGGGUUAACACAUCUUUGUACUUGUAUAAAUACCUCAAUAUCGGAGAAGAAUAAUAAUAUGAGCAUAGGUGAGCAUAUCUGAAUAUUUACCCUACUUUGUUUAACAUGGUAUCAAAGCGAGUUUAUUGACUGGGACUGAAUUGGGCCUUUACCCUUACCCAAUAUAUGUGGUGUUCAUAUGUAAGGCUUGAAUGUUUACCCCUACCCCUUACCCAAUACGUGUUGUUCAUGUGUUGGACUUAAAUGAUUGACUCCGAUGUGGACUUGGCUCCACGUGUGGCCCACUAUGUGGUGGUCUCAUGUGAGGGGGCGUGUUAAAGAAUAUAAGUUUCACAUCGAAAACUUGACUAAAUAAAAUAUAAUAUAUAAUGUAUGGUUCCACUAUUAAUAUCACCUAGGCCUUUUAUAUAAAACCCCACUUAUACCAAACAUGUGGUUAAGUUGGGGACAAUAUCGAUGUUACUAAUGGUGGGCCAAGAGUCUGUCCCUCUGAAAUCUUAACACAAACCAUGAGUGAUAACUAGCAAUACAUCCUUUUAGCAGUCUAAGUAGAAUAGUGUACAACCUAAUACUUGAGUUACACUCUUCUUAGGCCAUGAUUUCUGUCACGCCCCAACCCACGGAUUUACGUAACUUUAGGUUAAGACGUGAUUCACACCUUAAUUAUAGAAUUUAAUAAAAACUAUAACUCAAAUGUGAAGAAACAUUUAAAUAAAUAAAAUAAAUAUUUCACAUAGAAUAUUCAACAGAAACGCGGAAACGACAACAUCUGAAACUUUAAAAUUUUUACAUUAUUUUACAAGUUAGAACUACUCGAGAGUUCACUGAAAGAGUAGCUUAUUAUUCAUCCACAAGCUAUGUACAUAAUACACUCUAUAGACAUGCCAAAAUCAUCACAAGCUCUAGAUUUUAGGUUCAGUACUGCAAAAUCUAUUAGGGGGUGAGCGAAACCACAGCUCAGUAGGGACAUAAACCUUUUUACUGUACAUUGAUAUAAUUAAAUUAAGUGACAAAUAAUCAUACAACCAAAUAUCAUAUUAUUAAUAACAAUGCAUGAAUACUCUUCAUCUAAUCCUGUUAAUUCAUAGAACUGGACAAACAGACCUGCACAUCCCAUACCAUGCUUAUACCACUUGGUCCUGAAUGCCCAUUUAUAUGAAUUUACACCCAUUUCAAUCAUUCUAUAAUUUUUCUUUUGUUAGUCAUCUUGUCUAACUCCUUGUCGCCAGUCCCAAAUCACCCAAAAAACCAUGUGCAUUGUGGAAUUCCUGAGACCUGGUACAUGCCAAGAGUUAGACUCAACUACACAAAAAAUUAUUUCCAUUACCCUCUUUUCCACCAUUAUUUUCUCAACUCCAGAAUUCUAGCCAAUUUCCAUGACAUGAUAUAAUUAUACCCUUCACAACCAUGUAGCCAUUUAAAACAUCACUAAUGCACAUAUAAUUAUGCCCACAUUGUUCAAAUAGUUAAGAGUACAUAAAUUUCCAAUACGUAAAUUAAACAAUACCACAUUAACCAAAUAGUUAACAAUUUAUAAACAUCCAAUAUAAAAAAUAUCCAUUACACAUAAUAUAGAGCUCACGAAAUUUAAUUAGAUCAAUUUCUACAAAAGGCCCCAUUGAAACCCAUAUCUUGACACCAAAGCUUUUGCUAAAAACGUAAGGUGUUUCUUAAUUUUCCACCGCAUUCACAAACUCAGUUUCUCACUCUUUUUCUUACUCCUCUCUACCACUAUUUCUCUCUUGUUGUUUUUUUUUUCAUUUGAUGUGCAACUCUCUUCCUAUAUAUAAGGAAAUAAGUCGGCAGUGAAACACUUCCUAUUGGAUGGUGUAAUGGUGAUUGAUUUACACUUCCUAACCAAGUAAUAUAUAUAGCAGAUAAGGAAGAAUGUCUUUGUGACUCUUCCAACUCCUCCAAUCAUAUUCUUUUCUCUUUGGUGAGUUGGCUAACCUUACUACUUAACAUGGUUUUCACUUUGACAUGUACAAGGACUAUUAAUAAGGUCUAUGAAUUGACAAAACUAACUAAAAAGUUCUAUUAAUACAUAUCCAUAUAUAUAUAUAUAUAUAUAAUAGAAUAAGAUAUUUAUGUAAUACACACACAUAUAAUAAGAUAUAUAUAUAUAUAUAUAGAUUUAACUAUCUAGGUUAUGAAUUAAAUAUGUAACAAAAUUUUUAAUUUUCCCAAAAUAAUAUAUAAUAUAUAUAUUUAAAAAAUAUGUGGGUUUACAAUUUCGUUGUAUCAUAAGAGAUCAACGACACUUAAAAAGACAACUAUAGUGCUUUAGAUUGAAUGAUUUAUUUGAAUUAUGACAAUUCAGAGUUCUUGUUUCACAUGUAUGUGAAACUCCAAACACUCUUUAUUAAUCUUGUUCAAUGAAUUCAAUUUACAUUGACCAUCGCCAUACUAGCCUUAAUGUCUUGCAACCAAAAUCAAAUAAAGAGCGGAAAGACCAUUAAAACAAAUAAAUUAGUUAUUAAAAAAUCAAAAUGCAACUCGUUUACAAAUUCAAGAACCACAUAAAUCUAAAACCCUAUCAUAUAACUAGAAACUUUUAGGAGAUGAGUUUGCGAGUGAUGCAUUAGUAUUCUUCUACAAAUUGUAAUGAUUUUUCUACCCUCUUCUGUUUUGCCAGCUUUCUACAAAUUGGAUUAGUGUUUGUUGUAAUUUCUCAUAUUCUGACAAACAAGAAAAGAAAAUCUUCGAAUCUAACCAAAAGAAAAAGGAGAAAAAGAAAAAGAAAACUUGGGAUCUGUUGUAAAUAAUAAGGUGGAGCCCACCACUUGUUGGAUGGAGCUUUACCUACUCCACCUUGUUGGAAGGGGCUUUGCCUACAAAAGAGUGAGAACCCUUCCAUUGUAAUUGACAGUUUUGAGAACUGAAACAUUCUGAGAUCAGUUUCUCUCUAUCCCAAUUUUCUCUCCAUUUUCUCACUAGAUUUAUAACACGUUAUCAGCACGAGUCUUUAACCGGCUGAGUUCUCUGAUGAAACCCAGUCAGAUAAACUUACACACACAGAGAGAAACAGAGAGGGGAAAAAUGCUAGAUCCGAGAAAUGAUCUGCUACCUCCACCCAUGAAAGCAGCGGUGCUGUAUCACUAUCCUUGUCCAGACGGUGCGUUUGCUGCUUUCGGCCAUGGACUGUUUACUAGAUAUCAGCGAGCCAAAUUCCAGAUCCCGAAUUGAAAAAAAAUAAAAAAUCAACUCAGAUCCAAUCAGAAGCAAAAGGAACACGACAAAUGACCUUGCAUCCCCUAAGCCUGGCCAACUGUCCUGCAUACAUUCCAACAGCCCCAGUUGAAAGCAGAGAAUGGUACUUGGCCUCUUAUGCACCUGAAGUGCUUGGUCUCGAUGCUGAGAUCAGGCUUAGAGUUGAGGCCGACGCCAAGGAUAACGAUGGUGAGGAAGCUGGUGACGUAACAAGGGAGCUCCCAGUCCUCCCAUUUUCGAGUCUGGCCUGGGGACAACGGGGUCCGGUUGAAGAGGUAACCUUUGGGUUGCUCCUCGUGGCCCGGGCAGGUCCAUCGGCUCGGACCUGUGGCUGAACCGUCGCGAGUUCGGACAGUCUGGAUGAGGCGCUGGCGGAGCAUUGUGGAGGCGGGUAUGGAGUCUUGUUACAGUCGACAAGGCUCAGCCGACGUCUGAGCCUCAUGGGAAGUCUUGGAGGCGAGGAGAACGACGCCGCUUCGUUGGCCGAGAAAUCCAUGGCUAUACCCCCCCACCAUCUCUCUCGCCGAGUUGAUGAUCAACACGACGUCGUAGAGUGUGAACUGCGAGUAUGUUUAUGUACGAAUCAACAAUUUGAACGAAUUAGAAGAAAAUGGAAAAUGCAGAGAGAGAGAAAGGUCGCGACCACUCAGCUUUUUCAAUUUUGAAAUUCGAAGCUUUUGGGUUCGUGUUUUGUGUUGUUGUUGGUCACAGAUAAAGAGAACGGAUCUGGACGUGUGAGGUGAAGCUGAUAUAGUGUUUGUCUCUGUAAACACCCCUACCAAAACUACGGGUCUUGGAGCAGGCAAAGCUGCAGAUCUGAUAUAUUGUUAACAAAUCUCACGCGGAGCUCCACAGAGGCACAGCUACUCCAGGUAGUGAUAAGCACAUGAGGUACACAGAUACCAGGUUUGAUGAGCAGCACCACCGAAAAAGAACAGCACAUGCUGUCGGACACGCAUGCUUACAGCCCCACCCACCGAAACAUUAAAAAUAAUAAUAAUAAUAAUAAUAAUAAAUAUAUAUAUUAAAAAAAAAAGAAAGAAAAAAAAGAAAGGGGGAUCACUCAGCAAGGGCAUAAGCGAAAGAAUAAGCGAUAAGAUUUCUGCUCCCUUAUCUUCUCUAUUAUUUCCUAUUAUAUUUAUCUACUUUUCUUUUACUAACCAUUAACAAAAAUGGACCCUUGGUAAUACUAAACAUAUUAUCAGUGGGAGACCGUUACUAAUACUAACUCUUUACUUUAUGAAAUUUACUUUACUGCAAAUUUACUUUACCGCACAUUUAUUUUAUUUACUGUAUGGUGUAGGUUUAUUACCCAUACAACAGUAUUUAUUUAAAAGGGUGGCACGGGUUUAUCGUCCACGCCUUUACUUUUAUUUAAAUGUAUGGUGCGGGUUUAUCGUCCAUACAAGCACGUUUACUUUACGAAUUUAAUUUACCGUACAUUUACAUUUAUUUAAAGGGUGGUGCGGGUUUAUCGUUCACGCCUUUGCUUAUCUGUUUUAUUUAUGGUAUGGUGUAUGUUUAUUACCCAUACGGCAAUAUUUAAAGGGUGGUGCGUGUUUAUCGUCCACGCCUUUGCUUUUAUUUAAAUGUAUGGAGCAGAAUUAGUGCCCAUACAAGCACAUUUAAUUUACCACACAUUUACAUUUAUUUAAAAGGGUGGUGCGGGUUUAUCGUCCACGCCUUUACUUUUAUUUAAAUGUAUGGUGCGGGUUUAUCGUCCAUACCAGUAAUUUAUUUACCAGCAAUUUAUUUUAUGGAUUAAAUGUGCUGUAUGAUGAGUUUUUUUUUUUUACAGUAUACAGAUCAGGACCAGAAGUUCCUUGAUCCUCAUCAUACAAAUUACAUCAGGACUUGAAUGUUUUUACAGUAUACAGAUCAGGACCAGAAGUUCCUUGAUCCUCAUCAUACAAUUACAUCAGGACUUGAAGAUCCUUGAUGAUGAUGUUAAUGUGAGAGCUGGCAGUCUCUCCGGCACUAUAUUUGUAAACAUGUGAUCGGACUUGAGGGUCCUUGAUCCCUGACAUGUAAAUAAGGACCUGGGAUUCCUUAAUGAUGUAACAGUACCGUAUUGGUUCAUAAUGCCGUACACAUGGAUGAUAACUGUACUGGCAAAUGUACUGUAUACAUGAAUAGUGCCGUAUACAUGAAUAGUGAUGUAUGCAUAAAUAUUUACCAUUUUGGGUAAACCAUCACCAUUCAAAAGGGAACCUGCAGUUCCUUAAACUCAUGGAUGAGCAAUUAAAUGAGAUGCCAGAAGUUCCUCAAAAUAUGGACAAUUAUGUAAGGGCUUGAAGUCCAGAAAUAUGUACAGAAAAUUGUAAAAAUGUCCAUACCAUGAGAAUAUGUGAUUUUGGCCCGAAGUUCAAAAUCUAAGGGGAUUGAAUGUCCAUACCAUAAGAAUAUGUGAUUUUGGCCAGAAGUUCAAAAUCUAACAGUGUUGAGAACCUGAAGUUCCAACAAUUAAAUGGACAACCCUUGAGGUAUUAUUGUAAAUUGUGGUACGCCACAUAUCUCUUUGGCAUAAGAGAAUGAUGAAUUGAGGCUCCACACAUAUUUUGUUAUAUCUGGGUUGGAAGCUCAUGAACCCAAAUAUAUGAGAUAUUAGCGUGGCUUUUACUCAAUUCAUAUUUCAUGUCCAUUUUGAAAAGGGCAAAUAAAUUCUGAGUUUGUGUUUAGCCCAGGCCAUAAGUUCCGGGCUCCCAUACGUUGAAAUAUGAAAUUUGGGAGAGUCGAUGUGGUCAUUUGAACCUAUAAGGCACAAGGUUCCAAACCGUCAUUUUGAAAAGACGUAAAAACCACAGGUGCAAAUUUUAAGAAUGUGAGCAAUUAUUAUAACAGGAAAGGAGCAAGUUGAAACGCAGUUGCUCCAAUCAAGUUUUGCAAAGGCCAUAUCUAUAGGAGGAAAUAUGGCUACAGUUUCCAGGAUCCCAGUAUUAUCUCAGAUCCCCAUAUUAUCUUUUUCUUUCCCAGAUUCCAAAACUUCACGUGACCUCCAUUAAAUGUUUGUCGGCACUUUCGGCGUUUUCAAAGUAUUAUUUUCAUCAAAAGCCGAUCUUGCUUUACGGAUUUCACGGAGCUACUUUUUCAAAAGUACCCCGAGAAUCUCGCAAUUUUUCUAUGGUUAAUUUGAAAUUCACCUGUUCUACCUAUUCAUUGUAUUUGUGUAUAAAUGUGUUACUAACGAAAUUUUCUUUGCAGAAGACAUCCAGUUUUCUCCAUACCUAGUGAUGCGAUAUUUACUUGUUUUUCUUAUCAAGAAAAGAGUUGUGAUUUUACUCUUGCAGGAUAUAACUAGAUCAUCAAGCGCUACAUUUACUGGGCCGAUACAAGCUUGAAUGAUACUUGAGAAAAGUUUCUCCCACCUAAGGAUGUAAGCAAUACUUGUGUUAUUUUUUGCUUAUAUACUUAUUUGAUAUUUUAUCUUGAAAGGUAACCAAAUGGGAAGAUAAGUCCGUUCCAAAAGAAUGGCUUGUAUGUAUCCAUGAAUUAUUAAUGCAAAUUUUACAGAUUGCAAGUUGGAUACAUUGAUAAUACACUGCCACAGAUUACAGUCCCAUAAGAACAGAAUAUGGGUAUAGCAGUGAUCAAUAUUAUGCACGCCUGUUGCGUAGCAAAUGAUAUGGAUUGAAGUCCCGAAAGGACAAUCCUUUGACAUAUCAAUAUUGAUAUUAUGCACGCCUAAUGCGUAGCAAAUUAUAUGGGUUAAAGUCCCAUAAUAUGGGUUAAAGUCCCAGAAAUUAAUUGACAUGUAUGUAUUAAUCUGUGGCAUGCCUGCAGCAUGACAGAUAUAUGGGUGCACGCCUGUUGCGUAGCAAAUGAUAUGGAUUGAAGUCCCGAAAGGACAAUCCUUUGACAUGUCAAUAUUGAUAUUAUGCACGCCUAAUGCGUAGCAAAUUAUAUGGGUUAAAGUCCCAGAAAUUAAUUGACAUGUAUGUAUUAAUCUGUGGCAUGCCUGCAGCAUGACAGAUAUAUGGGUUCUAAAUGUUCCAACUCCCUAAAUGUAGAUUUUCCACGCCCUAUGUAAAAUAACGCUCCAAUGGAGGUUAUAAUCCACAUUCUCACAUAAUAAAAGCCCCAUGAAGUGGCUCGGGUACCCAAAAGCAAAAGAAAUGCUUAUAAUUGAUGCAUGCGCAUGCAUAUGAGAAUUGUGAGAUCAUGAAUUGAUGAAUGACAAUUUUUUGGUUUUGGAGUAGCUACUCAAAUCAUCAAUGGGCUGUGUUGAUUGGAACCACGUUCAAUUAUUAAAUGUCGACAAUAUCAUUGGCCAAAAUGGAACGAGGUAAUUCCAUUAUAAAAGAGAAUGAACGUGAAAGAACAAACCCACAAUACGAACCCCAAAAUUUGUUAAUACUGAAAGUUAUAUUUGGGUGUUCGGAAUAAAAGGGAAUAUACCUACUUUGUAUGACACAUUGUUUCUGGCAGAAACAAGGAAUGUUGGGUUUUCUUCAUAUUUACAGAUUCAAUUGUGCCCCCCCCUUAUUACACAAUUGCGGAGACCAACAUAUUAUCUUUAAGGGUUAUUAAAUGCACGGAGCAUAUCGUCAGAAGCGAUUCCCUAAAGAUGUAUAAAUAGCUGGGUUAAAGCUAUAUAAUGUGUCAUAAAGCUUAAUCCCUUUUUAGACAAAAUCCGUUGAGAGGAUUGACAUUGCAUAAAGUAAGUCCCUAAAGGACAUGUGCUUGAAGCACAAAAUUUGUACUCAAUAUUAAUAUGCAUAAAUUACCUCAGCGAGUACAUUGAUUAUAAUGUGAUUGCAACACAUUAAAGAUUCUGCAGAAUUCACGAAAUAUUUGUCUCGACUUAAGGAUCGAACAUUGUGCCAACGAGAUUCUUGCUUAUACUAAGAAAGUAUUGAAGCAUUUUUAUGAGGAUUAUCCGUUGGUCCUUAAAUGUUUUUCCGGAAGUAUACUAGACCAGAUAGAGCUCAGUUCCACACUGUACUCUUUUUCCUUCAUCCAGGUUUUUAUCCCAUUGGGUUUUUCCUGGUAAGGUUUUAACGAGGCAGUGUCGCUCAAGGGUUUAGGGUAUACCAUGAAAAUCUUUAUGAUCGAUUACUGGACAAAAGCUAGUCCUAAAUUUUUCAGGGGGAGAUAUUCAUCAGGGGGAGCGUGGUUCUAAUAAAGACCUCCAUACACUGUACUCUUUUUCCUUCAUCCAGGUUUUUAUCCCACUGGAUUUUUCCUGGUAAGGUUUUAACGAGGCAGUGUCGCUUAAAAUUGACUCACAGAAGCAGUGUCAACUACGAUAUUCAGAAAGGUGAUCAACAGCAUGACUUAAAGAUAUUUUUGCCAAGCAUCAGGGGGAGCGCACCAUCAAUAAUGAUCUUCAAACACCGUACUCUUUUUCCUUCGUCCUGGUUUUUAUCCCACUGGGUUUUUCCUGGCAAGGUUUUAACGAGGCAGUGUCGCACGCGCGUCAAUAUACCUAAAAUUUUAUGUUACACAUGAUUAUGUACUCUUUUUCCCUUUGUCCAGUUUUUGUCCCACUGGGUUUUUACUGGCAAGGUUUUUAACGAGACAUAUUCUGUAUCAUUUGUGGUCUCCAAGGGGGAGUGUUGUAAAUAAUAAGGUGGAGCCCACCACUUGUUGGAUGGAGCUUUACCUACUCCACCACUUGUUGGAUGGAGCUUUACCUACUCCACCUUGUUGGAAGGGGCUCUGCCUACAAAAGAGUGAGAACCCUUCCAUUGUAAUUGACAGUUUUGAGAACUAAAACAUUCUGAGAUCAGUUUCUCUCUAUCCCAAUUUUCUCUCCAUUUUCUCACUAGAUUUAUAACAGGAUCCACAUCGCAGAAGAUCACCACGUGAGAGAGGGGCGAGGUGCCGUAACGCCCUUUACGCUUGGACCAUUUAUGGCACGUGGCAGUGUGUCCAAAACAGAGACCUAAAAUGGUAAUAAAACCAAAACCCAAUAAUCACAUUUGGGGCCCGAAACAAAGACCCGUCUGACAAACGACGUCACUUCACCUUCGUGUCCACCACACAAACCACCGAUACCCAGCUCACCUGAUACUUCCUUCUACCGCCAAUCUCCAACUCCCAACGAACAGUCCGCGCAAAAAAUCGUCUCAAUAACCCGCCACGUAAGAUCAAAGAACCCAAAAUCACACACGUCGAGAGAUCAUUGGACGGAUCGUAAUUAGAAACUGAUCAGGUAAGCAGAGGAACAGAACUCAGAGCGGCAUCUUCUAGUCGUGCACGUACGUAGCGUGGUCUGGAAACUUUUAUCAUUCUGCGAGCACCGCCUUUACCUUGUUCGAUUUCUCACUCUGAAAAUUUAAUUUCCACAGUUCUUGCUCUCGCGGUUUCUGAUAAAAAUCGCGGAAUGAAGUAGCGAUUUUCGACUACUCUUCUCGAAGAUGUUGGAGGAUCAGGUGGCGAACCUCUUGCAGAGGUACCUCGGCAACUACGUGAAGGGGCUCAACAAGGAGGCCCUCAAGAUCAGCGUGUGGCAAGGUUCGAGUAGCUUCUUUGCUGCUUCGUCUUCUUCUUUUUGAUUCUUUCUUCGCUUCUUGUGAAAAGUGUUUUCUUGAUGCUUUUGGUUUUGUGCUUUUGAUUGGUUUGAUUGUGAAUUGAGUUGUUUUCUGUGGAUUGAAUUUGAAAUGGUCCCAAACGGUGCGUUUUGAGUGAUGUUAAAAAGGGUUUUGUUUGGGUUUUAGGAUAGCUUGGUGCCAAUGGCAGGUUUUGAGGGCUUUAGUGAAGAUAACUUGAUUUGGAUGAUUUGAAUAGUGACACUCUACUAGCUACUUGGGUUUGUUUCAAAUUGAAAACCUUAUGCAAGUAGCUAUGCACAUGCUUUAGUCUAACCUUCAUUUGAUCAUGAUGAUCAUUUCUGUGUUUAUGUGAUCAAAUUUAAAUGACUAAAUGGUUUUCUUUUUGGUUAUUAUUUUAGUGAAAAUCUCUGAAGGGGGACAUUAGAAAUGUAGGAUUUAGAUACCUUUAAUGACAAAAAACUUGGCACCAAUGCACACAUGCACAUACAUAUAUACAUGCAGUUUUUAAACUUUUGGCUGCAAUGAAACAAACUUCAAUACCAAACUCAACCAUCAGAACACCCAUUAGUUUUAUCAAACAUAAGUAACCAGCACUUAACAACCAUACUCAGCAAUACAGACUACAGCAUACAGAGCAAUAACAACCAUACUCAGCUAUACAAACACCUAAGUAAUAGAUGCCUUCUGAUCCAACAAAAUGGAUGAAAGCCUUAUGCCCCUAAAAGUAUCUGAAACAGAUGCCCACAAAGAGGACCGAAAAAUCACCCCAUCCCCCAAUACCUACACUCCCGUCCCUCUAAAAGCCUUAAAGAUUCGUUUGUUACUUUCAAUCCAAAUGAACCAUAAAAUAGCCAAAAUCUACAGCUCCAUAGGACCUUGGUCCCUUUCGCUCCACUGAAACCCUUGCUCUCAGCAAGUAUAACACCCCUUUGGAGCAUCCCAAGCCAUCUAUGCUUCUCUGAACAACUUUUACCUUUGCUUUGAAGCAACGGAACAAUGUAUCUGAAUAUGACUGACAUGCUCUCCAUCACUUAUAAAUUGUGGUUUCUUUAGUUUAUUGUACAUUUUAAGUUGUCAUUGGCUUUAUAAAUGCGGUUACUCUAAGGUUAGAGAAAUGCUAUUGUGCAUGUUCAGCAGUAUCAAAUUCUUAUGAUAGAGCCUGAGAAGCUAAUUAUGUACUUAUUACCUAAAAUGCAAAUCAGGUGAUGUUGAGCUAAAAAAUAUGCAGUUGAAGCCAGAGGCACUCAAUGCAUUAAAAUUGCCAGUGAAGGUUAAGGCAGGAUUUCUUGGAUCAGUGAAACUUAAGGUGCGGGGCUAUCAUUGGUUUUUUUAUAAUUGUGUUGAAUUAUUUUUUUUUGAAUGUUGUUCAGCUUUGUAUUGGACGAAAUGCUGUGAAAUUUGACUUCAUUUCCAUUUCUUGGAGUAAUAUUUUUAGUUGUUCCAAAAGUGGUAUUUGAUGUUUAGUUGAUAUAGAUUAUGCAUCUUAACUUUGACAUGAACAUAUAAUAUGAUAAUUGCAGUUUUCACCUAGUAUGUACUUUUUUAUUACUAGACAUUUUCAUUUUCUAAUUUACUGGGUAUAUUUUGUUUGUGUGGAAUAUUGUUAUAAUAUUUGGUUUUGAGAAGUUUUCUUAUGAUAUUUGUUAUUAACUGUAUUUCUCCAAUGAGGUUAUUAUUUUUUUUGAACGAAGGUUCCAUGGAGCAGGCUUGGCCAGGAUCCAGUUUUAGUUUCUUUGGAUCGCAUUUUUCUAUUAGCUGAACCCGAAACCCAAGUUGAAGGAUUUAGUGAGGAUGCUGUGCAGGAAGCUAAGAAGAAUCGAGUGCGGGUAAGACACAUUAAUCUAUGUGGUGGAAUUCAUGUGUUCUUUGCCACUACAUAUUUGAGUGAUCAUAUGUGUUUUUUGCCUUGUAAAUAGGAAAUGGAAAUGAAGCUGUUGGAGAGGACGCAGCAACUAAAGUCAGAAAUGGUAGGGUUUAACAUAAUCCAAGUCUGCUUGUAUUUUAGAACAUGGCUUUACCUUAACUUUAGGCUUCCUUGCUCCAGCAUAUGGGUUUAAAAUCUGAUCUAUGGGUGAUUAUUUUAAUGCUUUAUUUCUUCUUCUGGAAUUCAUAUCUUCUUUAUCUAUUAUGAUAUCAUUUUACUAUUUGUAAUUUGUUUCUCUUUGAAGAAUACAUCAUGGUUGGGAUCCCUGAUCAGCACAAUAAUUGGAAAUUUGAAACUUUCAAUUUCAAAUAUUCACAUCAGAUAUGAGGAUCUUGAGAGGUAGAGAAAAACCUGUUUGAGUGUUUUAUUCUUUUUAGUUAGUCUGUUUUCAGUCAACUAUGUCUUGGGUAGCAAUCCUAAUUAUGUCUUGGGUUUAUGCUUUAUGUCUUCUAUGGUGUAGCAAUCCUGGCCAUCCGUUUGCAGCAGGCAUAACCUUGGAAAGACUUUCAGCUAUGACAGUUGAUGAAAAUGGAAAGGAAACCUUUGUCACUGGGGGUGCUCUAGACCGUAUUCAGAAGGUUCCUUGUUAUCAUACUAUAUGAAAUUCUAAUUUCCACAGCAGUAUUCAGAUAUUUUUUUUGUGCAUGUUUAAGAUGCUGGUGCAUCAGAGGACAAGGUGUCCACUGACCUCCAGCUCCUAACUAACAAAAUCUAUGGACAACAGACCCAACAAAGAAGAUACAACUAAACAACAAAUACAGCGAGAACAAACUCUAAGACACUACAGCUAUCCAAUAAAAAAAACAACAGGAAAAGAGUUGUCCCUAUACUCUACAGAUACUGUAGCCCAGAAAGAUGCCAAAAAUUGAACCCUCCAACAAAUAUCAAGUAUCCUUAGAUAUCUCUCCACCAAACUACCAAAAAUAUAAAAUAUAAAUGUAUAGACUAAGAAGUUCAAUAAUGGAUACUUCCAGGUUGAUGUUAUGGGAAGUCACCGUUUGAUUAUUGCAUGUCAUUUGAUUUUUUAAAAUUGACUUCAUAUAUCCCUGAGAUUCUUUCAAAUACUGAUUAAAGGCGUCUAUUUAAGAAAAAAAUUUAGAACAACUAAGCAUUUCUUGUACGUGUGAAUAACUUGGCUUCAUCGAUAUAUUGAUCCCUUCUUUCUGCUUAUGCUAUAUUCUGUCAUUUUCAGUCCGUUCAACUUGAUCGGCUUGCACUUUAUCUGGAUUCUGAUAUUUCUCCAUGGCAUGUUAACAAGCCAUGGGAGGAUUUGCUUCCAUCAGAGUGGGUCCAGGUAUAUGCCCAAUCCUCUUUUAGAAAUAGAGGCUCUGUACCUGCAUGCACAUACAUGCGUAUAUUUAUAUAUUACCUUUUUGGCACUUCAGGUUUUUAGAUUUGGCACUAAAUAUGGUAAACCAGCAGAUGGAUUAAUAAAAAAGCACACUUACAUACUGGAACCUGUGUCUGGAAAUGCCAAGUACUCAAAACUACAGCCAAAUGAAUUUGCUGACAGUGGCCAGCCUUUACACAAAGCAGCAGUUAAUUUGGAUGAUGUGACUCUCUGUUUGCCAAAGGUUCAUUUUCAUUUUCAUUUUCUAUUCCUUCUGAUUUAGUGCUGGGAGGUAACGUGAUUUGUUUUAAAAGCAAUUGAGUACUAUUUGUUUGCAGGAUGGAUACAGGGAUGCACUAAAGUUAGCUGAUAAUUUUGCAGCAUUUAAUCAGCGCUUGAAGUAUGCUCAUUAUCGUCCGCAUGUCUCUGUGAAAUCUGAUCCUAGGUCCUGGUGGAAGUAUGCUUAUAGAGUCGUUUCUGACCAAAUGAAGAAGGCAAGGUCAGGAUCAAUGAAUUUCUUUUAAUUCUCCUACCUUAUGAAUUGUUGUGUUUCUGAUGGACUUCGUGGCCAUAUUGUUUGGGAUUUUCUUAUCUAUAUAUUGUUUUUUCCUGUAAAAAAAGAGGAAAAUUCUCCUCCCCGAUGAGAUUUUAUGUUGUGAGCUUUAAUCCCAAAAUAGUGAAAUACUUUUUUUAACAGUAAAGAAAAGGACUUCCUCUCUUAAUCAGUUAACUUAGUUUAGUUUUAUUAAUAUUAUACAUUUUAAUUUAUGCAAAUUUUGUUAACAAAUGAAAAAGCAGUGAACUUCGUUAUAUGCUCUGCAAACUGAAUUUAGAUACAUAUUUUUUUUAUAUUUGCUUAAAGCAUUAUCUUUGUGGCAGUGGGAGAUUGUCAUGGGAUCAAGUUCUGAAGUACGCAAGCUUACGUAAAAGAUAUAUCUCGCUAUAUGCUUCACUGCUUAAAUCUGAUCCUAGUCGGGCAGUAGUUGAUGACAACCAAGACAUCGAGGAGCUAGAUCGUGGACUUGAUAUUGAACUCAUACUACAGUGGAGGUACUCUUUUUUGUUGUAAAUGUAUUUAGUUUCUGAUAGUUAUUAAUUGUAUGAAGGGUUAUUCGUUUUAUAUUAGUCCUUGAACUUUGACUCGAUUUGCAUUUUUUUUUUUUUUGAAUAGAAACAUUGUAUUGAUAAACAAGAGGAAAAAUCCUCAAUCAAACAAGAAGACCAGAAAUAAAGAUUGUCUGACCUACUAAGAUUGAAAAAAUUCUGUAAUUAAAAAACACAAAAAACACAAAACUUCAGUAAAAUCAUCUUAAGACUGCCAUCAUGUCUCUCAUGAUGGUAGAGUAGUGAUAGUCCUUGAACUGCCCCAAAACCGAAGCCCAAAGGGAUGCCCAAAAUUUAAUUCUGUCCCAUAAUUUCUGAAGAUCUUCCUCUGCCAUUCUUCAAAGGAUUCUAAAAGCCCUUUCUUUUUCUACUGGCUCUUAGUCUAUUCUCUGCAAAAGACGCGUUGGCUUGUCAAUGACAGUGCUGUGUGCGUAGGAUAAGCAGAGGACGACAACAGUGCAUAGGAAAGUUGGGUUUUGGGAUGAUUUCUGGGUGGAGGGGUGGGGCGGUGGGGUGGGUUUUGGGGUUGGAGUGUGGUGGCUGUCGGAUGGGUUUGGUGGUUGGAGGGGGGUGGUCAUGGGAGAAAGGGGGAGAAGAAAUCGGUGUGAGAGAGAGAGAGAGAGAGAGAGAGAGAGAGAGAGAGAGAGAGAGAGAGAGAGAGAGAGAGAUUUGAAUUUAUUUUCUUAUUUUUAAUAUUUUAUUCAUAUUUUAAUCAAUUUAAAAUUUAAAAAAUAUAAAAAUACCAUUUUACCCCUGCAUUUAACAGAAAAGUUAACAAAUUUGACGGCAGGAUGAUUUGUCCUCACAAAACUGAAGUUGAAGGACCACGGGAACGAUUUUGGAAAUUGAGGGACUCAAAUGCAAAUCGGAUCUAAGUUAAGGGACUAAUAAAACGAAUAACCCCAUUGUAUGAAAUUGGCCAUUCUCUCUACCUGUUGAAACUGGUGUGUUUCUAUGCAUUUUUAGCUGCAUAGUACAUUUAUUUUGUAGAUAGACCAUUCCUUCAAAUGAUUUUUGCCUUGAAGUAUUUUGUAGUAUUGUGGUCUCAUUCAUGCAGGAUGUUGGCUCACAAGUUUGUAGAGCAGUCAUCAGAGUCAGACCUUGACUUGAGGAAACAGAAAGCAAAGAAAUCUUGGUGGUCAAUAGGAUGGUAAUAGUUUUACCGUCAAAUUUGAAACUAGGUCUCUCGACACCCUAGGUAUUUGUAUAUCCUGAUGUUUGCUUGUUUCCUAAUUCUAUCUACUGUUCCAGGGGCAGUCAGUCUCAGAUAGAUGAGAGUGAGCCAUUUAGUUUCAGCGAGGAAGACUGGAAGCAGUUAAAUAACAUCAUUGGGUAUAAGGAAAGUGAUGAUAGGCUGUCGGUUGUAAUUAAUGACAAGGCGGAUGCUCUUCAGACUUCCUUGAGCAUUUGUAUGAAACAUAAUGCUACUAAGCUUAUUGAUGAGUCCCAGGAGUGUCUUGCUGAAUUAUCAUGUGAGGGCCUGGAUUGCUUUAUAAAGCUUUAUCCAGAGACAAAAGUUUUCAACAUAAAAUUGGGAUCAUAUAAGUUAUCAACACCGAAUGGUCUCCUUGCUGAGGUAGGCCUUUCUCCUGCUGUGUGUUGUAUUUUUUAAAACGUUUUCUCUUCAAUAUUUAUGGAUUAAUUUCCCUAUUUCAUCCAUAAAUCAUCUAUUUACUUCCCUGCAGAGUGCAAGUGCGCAUGAUUCUUUAGUUGGCACAUUCUGUUUUAAGCCUUUUGACGCAAAUGUGGACUGGAGCUUGGUUGCUAAAGCUUCUCCUUGUUAUGUGACUGUAUGUUUUUGCUACGCCAAAGUUAUUACUUCCUCCAAGGUGUAUUUGUUUACUGAUUUGAUCUCUCUGGCAGUAUCUAAAGGACGUAAUCGGUCAAAUUAUAAAAUUCUUCCGAAGUAAUACAGCUGUUAGUCAGACGAUAGCAUUGGAAACCGCAGCUGCAGUGCAGGUUCUUUGAAAUAUGCUUAAAUAGUUCUUUCGACUGCUUUCCAAGCUUGCUGGUGUUGAACAUGUUAACCAAGAUGUUUCAAUCAUUUUGUCUGUGAAACAUCAUUUUGUCUGUUUGUGUUUUUCUUCAAAUUUUAAAUAUUGUUGCUUGGACUUCUGAAAUUAAUUGGAAACUUCAAUUAUUUGAUUGGUAUGUAAGUCAUAGGGGCAAUAUUGGGAGAUUUUUUUUGGAGCAAAAAGUAGAAAAAUUUAGGAACAAAGAUUAAAUAUUCAAAGAAACAUGCAUCCAUUGGAUAUGUUCUUUAUGGAGUUUAUAUGCUAAGGCACAACAUUGAGUUACUUGUGACUUUCCUUCUGUGGCUAUGUCAUGAUGCAAGAUCAGGAAAAUGUAGAGAAUAUUGUCAGGAUGCUAAAUGAAGUACAUCAGCUUGCGUGCUGAUUUUUCUAAAGAUGCCCAAGAUGGAAUAAUUUAGGAAGAAUUCAGUGAAAGAUGAUGAUUAUAUUGUUUUACAACUCUCUUCGCAGCAUAUGCAUGAUUUUACCAUGGCCUGAUUAGAGCUGUGGGUGCUUGUUAUUCUGUCGCAGCAAGUAUGGUGAUCAAAUUUUCUGUUAAUGAUGGUAUACAAACUGUCUUUUUCAAUAUAUACCAGAUGACAAUCAAUGGAGUCAAGCGCACAGCUCAGCAACAAGUGAACAGAGCAUUGAAAGACCAUUCCAGGUUCUUAUUUCAUUUCUUUCUGGAGUACCUUGAGCCCCUUCCCUAAAAUUAUAUUGAUCCCGUGAAUGAGAGGAAAAAUUGACCAUAACAUGCUAAUGGUAGAAUUACAAAAGGGUGAGGGAAGUGCUGAUUAUAUACGGACAAAUACAAUAGCGGGAUCCCUUUUUAAGUGGACAUACAUAUAUUUGUAUAUAUAUAAACAUAAUAUAUGUUUCACAUUGUUAUGUCCCAUGGGCCAGGUUGUUUGGAGUGCCGUGGGUUUGGUUGGCCUCAAAAUUGCUAUUUCUUUUGGGUGGACAAUUAUUUCUGUAUCUUUUCUUAAUAAAAGUUUGUGAUGCUUAGCUUCUUUGUAUUUAUUCUAUUAAUGUUUUGUUAUCAUUUGUUAGGUUUUUGCUGGACUUGGAUAUUGCGGCUCCGAAGAUUACAAUUCCUACUGAUUUUUGUCCCGACAACACACAUCCAACAAAACUCAUGCUUGACUUGGGAAAUUUGGUUAUUGGAACCAAGGUUAACAACAAUAUUAAUUCUUAAUUAUCUAAUUAUGAGUUUGUUUCCUACAGACAUUUAUGUUGAGCUUGAAAGUGCAUGCAGGAUGACUAUGGAGGUGGAUCCCCGGAGGAGCUGGAUCUGUAUCUGCAGUUUAAUUUGGUUUUAAAAGAUGUAUCUGCUUUUCUGGUUGAUGGUGACUACUGUUGGAGCCAAUCUCCUUCAAACAAUUCUGCUGGUUGUGCCAAAUUAAAUGGUGUUAGUUUGUUGCCUUUAUUCGAUAAAUGUGGGGUAACUGUAAAGCUUCAACAGGUAAAAUACUGUGACCUGUUUAGCUUAAAUACGAAGCUUAUUUUCACGUGGCAUUUGUGAAGAUUAAGGUUUUGGAUUUUAUUUUGUUAUUACAUCCAGAUUCGAUUAGAGAGCCCAUCCUACCCUUCAACAAGAGUCGCUGUACGGCUACCAUCAUUAGGGUUUCACUUCUCUCCAGCUCGGUAUCAUCGAUUGAUGCAAAUUGCUAAGAUUUUUGAAGAGGAUGGUGAGAACUUGGAUCUCCUUUGCGCUUGGAAUGAGCCUGACUUUGAGGGGUGGUUGUCUCUUCUUGCUUGGAAGGUUGCAAUCUAUCUCUCUCUCCCCACCCUCUUGUCUCCCAUUUGCCCCUAAACAAAAAAACACAUCCCAAAAGUAGUUCAUGUCUUUAUUAUAGUGCUAUGUUUGAGCACCCAUUCCUAUAAACAGAAUUUAUUCAUUUCUUUAUUUUAAUGUGAUGAUAGGGUCUCGGGAAUAGGGAAGCGGUGUGGCAGCGGCGCUACCUAUGCUUAGUUGGGCCUUACCUUUAUGUACUUGAGAACCCUAGCUCUAAAUCGUACAAACAGUGUAUCAGGUUCGGAUGCCAACUUUUCCAAAUUGAGUUGUGAUCGACAUGAUAGUAUCUACUUAAUAUGUAGAUAUAUAUAUAUAUAUAUCCAAAAAGUAUGAUUCAGAAAAAAAACAAUGAUGGAGAUAUUUGCCAUUGUUGCAAAAGUUUUAAUUGAAAUCUUGUGGAAUGAUUUAUUUGUCUAUUUGUUAAAAAAAUGCAUAUAUUCUUUGGUUUUUCUUCCAUUCCUCGAGUUGAAUUGAUUAAGUAGCCUUUUAUACAGACUACUUGUGUUACGCAAGUACCACUGACUUGGUUCAUUUCACUGAACCACAUCCACACCUUUGUUUAUUCCAAUAACUCCAUCUGUUUCUAGAUAUGAAUUCACUGCUAUUUAUAAUGUUCUAGAAAAUUCUAAAAUAGUCUCUCAACAUUUUCUAACUACUAAAAAUUAUAUAUGCAACACUUCAUAUAACAUAACAAGUAUAUAUUAAGUGGAAUGUUGUAUACUAGAAUUUGUAUUAACUCUAACUAAUGCUUGCAAUAUGCUUGUGGCAGCUUAAGUGGAAAACACAUAUAUCAAGUUCCCCCAGAGUCUGUUGGUGGUGCUGAUCUUGUGUUGGUUGUCUGUGAUGCUGCACGAGCAAAUAGCAAGGUUGUAACUCCAUCUUUAUAGUUAGAAAGAACGCCCCUGUAUAAUGGUUUGUUGAGUAUUACUUAGUUUUAGUUAUUUCUUUUAUAUAGGUUGUGGAGGAUGCAAAUGCACUAAUAGUGCAAUGUGAUUCUGAUGAUUCGAAGAAAAUUUGGCAAAGCCGGUUGAAGGGGGCUGUCUAUCGUGCAUCGGUAAUCCUUGUUUAGUUUGUGGUAGACAUAUCCCGGCUUCGAUAUGACAGCACUUUUAACUUUUAAGGACAUGCAUAGGCCUCUUAAGUAGUUUUAUAUGCAGGGUACUGCUCCUGUAACUAGUCUAUCUGAAACUUCAUCCGAGUCCGAGGAUUCUAUAGUGGAGCUUAAUGAUAAAGAUGAUGUGGUUGAUUUAUCGAAAAUGGAGAGAGCAUUUAUUACUGGUGUUCUUGAUGAACUAAAGGUCUGCUUCAGUUAUAGUUACCAGGUAAGCCUAAACUAUGUACUUGAUAAAAAUUUGCCUUGUAAGGGAAGAUCUGACAGAGCUGUUUUUCUCUAAUCUCUAGCACGACCAGAAUUUUAUGAAAGUGCUCCUAACUGAAGAAAGGCGAUUAUUUGAAUUUCGAGCAAUAGGUGGCCAGGUGAUACAUUAAUCGAAAUAGGCAUUGGUGUGUUUUGAUGUUUGUAAAUGUUUUUGUUUUUGCGACUCCAGAGAGUUAUGUUUUUGGACACAGGUUGAGGUAUCGGUUAGAUCAAGUGAUAUGUUCGUUGGAACUGUUUUAAAAUCUUUGGAGAUUGAAGACUUAGUUUCUGGCAAUAGCAUGUCUCAGCCUCGCUAUCUGGCAACAUCGUUCAUCCGUAAUGCAGAAACACGUUUAACCUUUGGUGCCACAGAGAAUCAGACUUUUGAUGGCAGUGAACUAACCCCGACUGAAGGAGAUGAAUUCUACGAGGCACCAGAAAAUUUGGUUGACCCUGAAAGUUUAUUGUUGAAAUCCCCUCGUUUUACUCGUUUUCCUGGUCUACUCCCGGUUAAUGGACUUGAAGAAAGUGAGGAGAACAUUGAACUCAAUGGUUCAUUGGAUAGUUUUGUGAAAGCUCAAAUAGUUAGAUAUGACCAAAGCUCUCCUCUAUACCAUAAUAUAGACAUGCAGGUGAGUAUUAUUCUGUGUUAAAUUUGGGGCUUGAUCCGUUAUGUUGUUGCUUGACUUGUUAUUAUUUAAAUGGUUGUUUUAGGUCUCAGUCACCCUGACUACCCUAUCAUUUUUCUGUCGGCGACCAACAAUUCUUGCCAUCAUGGAAUUUGUUAAUUCUAUUAACAUUAAGGAUGAAAGCUGUGAAUCUUUCAGUGACAGUUCUUCAGCAGCUAUUGUGAAACAGGAACUCUCUAGAGAUGAUGCAGUUGGUAGUCCACGACCAGUGACAAUCAAUGAGCCUUCAAUUAAAGGAUUGCUGGGAAAGGGAAAGUCCAGAGUGGUUUUUAAUAUAACAUUAAAUAUGGCUCGCGCUCAGAUUAUAUUAAUGAAUGAAGAUGAAACCAAACUUGCUACUUUGUCACAAGAUAAUUUGGUUACCGAUAUUAAGGUUUUCUCAACUUUGUCCAUCCUCAUUCAUCCUCUAGAAUUUCUGUUUUUAUUAAACCCACCUGUUUCAGGUUUAUAAACCCUAUUGUUUUUCAGGUGUUCCCAUCCUCUUUUAGCAUUAAGGCAGCCCUUGGAAAUCUUAAAAUUAGUGAUGAGAGUCUUCCUAGCAGCCAUAUGUACUUCUGGGCAUGUGAUAUGAGAAAUCCAGGCGGCAGUUCAUUUGUUGAGGUAACACUAUGUUCCUACCAAUAAGAAUAACGUAUGAUCAUUUAACAAAAAGACUGAUCACACAAGAACAACUAAUUAAGAUUCUGUCUUGAGCUUAUGUUCCUAAAGUUCUGAUGAUGGAAAUUUAAGUUCGUUCAUGAACUUUUCUUUCUUUUUAUCACUCCAGAGGCUUUGUUUUUUGUUGAAGAUUUUAAGACAUGUUCCUCAGUAACUUGUGUGCUUUCUUUGAUGGUUAUUGAAUAGGUCAAGGGACCAAAUAAUUUUUAAUUCUCUAUGUAUGCCAAGGGACAUAGUGAGGUUUUGGGAGGAAUUGGCUGGGUUGUCUGGGUUGUGUUGGUCGAUGGUGCAUGAGUGGGGAUUUUCAUAUGGUGAGAUUUGUCAUAGAGAAAUGUAAUGCAGGAAGGGUGACAAGGAGCACGUGUUAUGAUUUCUUAAGGGAAACAAACUUGUGUAAUUCCGAGUUACACAAUGCAGUCUUCACUCUUCACUAGGUCCAAUAUGAGAGAAAAUGUGCUUCCAAAAGAUUUGACAGAUUUUUGCAUACUGCAGAGUGGGAAGAGGGAUUUCCUAAUGUGAGAGAGAUGGCCCUUAGUGGGGUUGUUUCUGAUCGUUGUCCUAUAUUGUUUGAUUCUAAUCACAUGUGGUUGGAACUGCUUCAAGAAGUGGUGGGAAAGUAGGGAGUUUAAAUGGUUGUUAGGGUUAAGUUUUAGGUGAUGUAAGAAAGGAAAAGAGGGAAGUGCAGGAAAAAUAAUUAAAGAGCUCCAUUUGUUGGAGUAAGGGGACAUAUUGCUGGAAGAGUGCCGAAGGGAGAGGGCAAGCUAAGACUAAAAUUGUGGGAGGCUUGUUUUCAAGGAGAUUUGUGGAGGCGAAAAAGUGGCUUGGGCAAAUGAGGGUGAUGGCAGUACAAACAUGUUGAUAAAAUGGUAAAUAGGAGGAAAAAAAGAAAUUUGAUCAAAAUCUUGGAAUUGAGUGAUGGGCCAUUCACUGAUGACAAGGGGAGGAUUGAGGAAGAAGUAAUUAAUUUUUGUAAGAGAUUUCUGUAGGAAGGAAGGUGGGGAAAAGGAAAGGGCGAUGGUGGUAGGAAAUGUUAACAACUUUAUUUGACUCCUUCGUAUUCCACACUGUUGCAUCAUGUAGGCAAGCUAACAUUUAUAUUACUGUUUAUGGCUUUGAUAGAUAAAUUUGGAUAGACAUUUGGUGAAUAAAUUUAGAGUAAAUGUAUAAAGAGACUAUAGGGUUCCACAUUAUUGCGACAGUUAAUCUACUUUCUUCUGUUCUGCAGUUGUUUUUUUCCCUUUUUCGUUCUACUGUUUUACUAUUCUCCUAUUUCGUUUGCUUUUAUUGGUAUUAGGGAUAGUUUUACAAAUAACAGUCAUUAUGAUGCAGUUGGUUUUUACUUCAUUCAGCGUUGAUGAUGAAGACUACGAAGGCUAUGAGUAUAGCCUUUAUGGGCAGCUUUCAGAAGUAUGCAUUGUUUAUUUGAAUCGAUUUAUCCAGGAGGUAAUAUACAUUUAAUUCUUUUGUUCAUUAUGCACUCUGGUUCGUUUCCACUUCUCUUAUGUCUGUAAAAUCAUUUGUAGGUGGCUAGUUACUUCAUGGGUCUUGUUCCCAACAAUUCAAAAGGUGUCGUCAAGCUAAAAGAUCAAGUAACAGAUUCGGAAAAGAUGUUUACAACUAGUGACUUCGAAGGAUCACCUGCCCUAAAGUUGGAUGUCUCUCUUAGGAAGCCUAUUAUUUUGAUGCCUCGGAGAACUGACAGUCUUGAGUAAGUUUAUAUUGGAAUCUAGGCUCUUAUGGAUUUUAGUUUUAGACUAUUGGCAUCUUUGUCUGUGGUUGCACUCGUAUAAUUCAACUCUCAAUUUGAUAAACCUAAUAGGCAUUCUCUAAUUAUUUGAAUUUUUCUAUUUCAGCUACUUGAAGCUUGAUAUUGUUCAUAUUACUGUCCGGAACACUUUUAAAUGGUUUGGUGGAAGUAGAAGUGACAUUAAUGCUGUUCAUAUGGAAGUAUUAACAGUUCAGGUGAUUGAAUACAUUUAAUUAUUUUUUCUUUUACCAACAAAAACCCAUGCUGAAAUUUUUAUUUAGUUGGAAUGGGAUACGGUGGUUCCAAUACAAAUGGAUUUUGAAAGGCUUUGUCAUGUGGAGUGCUUGGCAGCGGAAUUAAUAUUUAUUUUUUGGUUUGGUUUGCAUCUAUUAAUUUGUAAUUAACUGUCUCUGCAUGUCGAUUAAUACUAUGAUGGGGGCUGUAGGUUGAGGACAUCAAUCUAAAUGUUGGCACUAAAGGUGAGUUAGGUGAAAGCAUAAUUCAAGAUGUGAAUGGAGUUUCAGUUGUGAUUCAAAGGUCACUUCGAGACUUGUUGCAUCAAAUACCAAGUAUUGAGGUUAUAAUCAAGGUAAUGGAUUACAUGUUCAUUGACCGUUUUGUGAAGCUAACUUUGUUUUUAAUUUUAAAUUUGGGAAAACUGCAAACAUAAGUGAAGUCACAAUUUAAAUGUUUUUAGAAUUCGUGCUUUUCAGAUGGAGAAAUUGAAAGCAGCUUUGUCAAACAGGGAAUAUCAGAUUAUCACGGAUUGUGCACAGUCUAAUAUUUCUGAAACUCCACGUAUUGUACCCCCAUUGAACCAUUAUUCUAUGACAUCUUCAGUUGAUGUUGAAGAAGACAUCACUCCUCAGGAACCAGAUGGUAUUGAAUCCCAAAGUGCAAGUGGGGGAGCCUGGGUUAUGAUGAAAGUCUCUGUUGUUAUUGAUUUGGUUGAAUUGUGCUUACAUGCUGGUGUAGCAAGAGAUGCAUCUCUGGCCACUGUGCAGGUAGUUUCUCAAUUUGGUGGAUUUCUUAACUGUUGGGAAUUUAUUACAGUAUUUGUAUAUUCUCUCUUUAGAAGAUUGAACUCAUUGAGGUGGCAUUGGUUUUAUGCAUCACAAGAGUUUUUCUUGCUUGACUAAAUUUGUAUUUUGUUUUGCUAUGCUUUCUAUCUUCUGAACCCCGUGUUUGCUUUUUAUUUAUUUAUUUAAUAAAUAAAUAAUUUGUUUGCCUUUUUCGUUUGGGAAUGCUAUAUAUUUUGGUCCUAUAUGUCACGUAAAUAUCAUUUAGUGAUCCUAAAAUCAUUUUCAAAUCCUUGCAUCAAUAUUUAUGUAUUCUCCGUUCAAAUUGUCUGGUAUUGUGUCUAAUUUACGAUUUACACCGUACUUGAACAUCAUUGCAAAACUGGAUUUCAUUUUCUUUUCGCAAAAGUGAUAAUUUUAUUAAUAAAGAAGAAAAGUACAGUCAAAUCGGACCAGCAGUCUAGAAGAGAUACUACCGUCAGUCAACUAAAAAGGGACACAAAAACAUGUGUAAAUAAUCAACUGUUGGCAGGGUUAAACUCUGUUGAUUUCUGCAUAAUGCAUUGUAAUAAGGGAGUGGGAGUGGCAGAAUUAUGGGAUAGAGUGAAGUUUUGGGCUGCCCUUUGGGCAUCAACUUCCCCAGCGUUUAAGGAUGUACCCUAUCCUAUAAUUAUGCGCAUUCUGCUGGCUGUAGUAUCUUAAGGGUUUGUUUUAUGGUUGGUUGGUUAGUUAUGUGUUGAGUGGCCUUGUGUCUGUUUCACCGGUUAGUGUUUUUUCCUGCGUGCUAAAUGGCCUUGUUUUGAUCCUAAAUAUUUGAAUAAAAAUGUUUCUAUUCAAAAAAAAAAAAUAACUGUAUUAUUUUAAGAAGAUAUUUUGUCAAAAUUUGUAUCAGGUGCGUUUAUGCGUGUAGGAUGUGUUAGAACAUUUAAUAGGGUGGAUGCUCACGUUUUGAGAAAAGAGUACAUAUUAUUAUAUACAUAUAAUUGUUCUUGGUUUAUUAUGCUACCACUCUGUUGUACAGAUUAGCGGUGCAUGGUUGCUGUACAAGUCAAAUACACUAGGAGAAGGCUUCCUCUCAGCAACGCUAAAGGGUUUCACUGUGUUUGAUGAUCGUGAGGGUACGGAACCAGAGUUUAGGUUGGCAAUAGGAAAGCCUGAGUAUGUUGGUUCAUAUCCUCUAGAUUUUGUUGCUCAUGAUGACCAUCACAUCUCCGGUGCAAAUGUUACAAAAGAGAAUGAUGUCAAAUUAGUUCCUACAAUGCUCAUUCUUGAUGCAAAAUUUUGUCAGCAGUCAACAGUUGUUUCUUUGUGCAUCCAAAGGCCACAACUGCUUGUUGCACUUGAUUUUCUGCUGGGUGUUGUUGAGUUUUUCGUUCCUACCAUCGGCAAUGUGCAGUCAAAUGAAGAACUACAGAACUCUGUCCAUGGAAUUGAUGCAGUAAUUUUGGACCAAUCAACUUACAAGCAACCCUCUACUGAAUUCUCUCUUUCUCCUCUAAGACCUUUAAUAGUUGACGAUGAAAGGCAUGAUCAUUUUGUUUAUGAUGGCAAUGCUGGGACACUGUAUUUGAAAGAUAGGCAGGGAUUUAAUCUCUCAGGGCCUAGUACAGAGGCUAUAAUAUAUGUAGGAGAUGGGAAAAGAUUGCAAUUCAAAAAUGUUGUUAUCAUGGUAUUAUUCUUUACGAUGUCUUUUUUUCUAGUUUACUGGCAUACUUGUGCUUCAAAAGCACUUCUAUCAUAUUUAAACUUCUAAUGUAAGUUGUGUUGGUGUAGAAUGGACUGUACUUAGAUUCAUGCAUUUCUAUGGGAACCAACAGUAGCUAUUCAGCUUUGAAGGAAGAUCAGGUCUACUUCGUGGGAGGGAAUGAAGUUCCUAAUUUGAAUUCCCCAACAGAAAGUGUCAAUAAUGUGCCAUCUCAAAGUAUUGCCGUCGACAGGUCGACAGAGUUUAUUAUUGAGUUGCAGGUUCAAUAUUGCUUCAUUUGAUUUCUUUUUCCUAAUUUGGGGUCAUACUCAUUCUUUGGAUCUGCAACUGUCUUUCGUAACUAAAUAUUUCAUUGCAGUUGGUUGGCCCAGAGCUGACAUUCUAUAAUACGUCUGAAGAUGUUGGGGAAUCCCUUGUGCUCUCCAACCAACUUUUACAUGCACAGUUGGAUGGAUUCUGCAGGUAAAUAAUUUUAUUGUUUUGUUGAUUUUAAUGUCACUCAUAGUAUAGGAUCUUCUUUCAUUUCUCGAAAGGGUCUCCAAGGACUCCCUUUUUCUUUUCCUAUCGGAUUUUGUCUCUUAUUUAGGGGUUCUUCCAUUGCAUUUUGGAUUGACUAAAUGACACGCAAUAUUGAGUUCCAAGUCCUUUUUAAACCAAAAUGAUUAGGACACAUUCAUACUCCCUCUGUUUCAAUGUCCAUGGUAUUUGUCAUACCCAAAAGUCUUAAUUUGGUUUCUUGAUUCCUACCAAUAUCUGCGAUAUAUCUAUAUUUCCAUUGAAAUUUCCCAUUAUUUUUUUUUUUAUUAUUGUGGAUUCUUACCAGACAUAAAUGGAUUUGAUAAGGCUUUAGUUGAGAGCAAUAUCGCUGGAUAGUGCUCUUUGGUUCCUUAUACAUUGCUUCCAUAGGUUUCCAGGAGUUCAAGUGAGAAAAAUCAUAUUUAUUGCCUAGGCCAUGUUCGCUUUAGAUUCCAUGUUAUUAAUGCUUGAACUUAAAGAAAUGUAAUGGAAAAGUGACAUUCUAUGUGCUCUUGUUGCCUCCAGGCUUGUUUUGAAGGGUGAUACCAUUGAGAUGAAUGCAAAUGUUCUUGGUUUAACAAUGGAGAGUAAUGGAUUCACGAUUCUGGAGCCUUUUGACACCUCUGUAAAAUAUUCCAAUGCUUCUGGAAAGACCAAUAUUCAUCUAAGUGCUUCAGAUGUAUUUAUGAAUUUCUCAUUCAGCAUCCUGAGACUGUUUUUAGCAGUUGAAGAUGAUAUCUUGGCAUUUUUAAGGACAACAUCAAAGAAAAUGACAGUGGUCUGCUCACAGUUCGACAAAAUUGGAACAAUAAGAAGUAGGCUGAUUUUUUUUUUUCUUUUCUAUAUUGUUGCUAGAAUGUUUUAACAUGCCUAUUGUUAGAUGCUGAUACGUGUUCCCUGCUUCUUGAACUUUCAGAUUCCCACAAUGACCAAACAUAUGCCUUCUGGAGGCCUCAUGCACCUCCUGGUUUUGCUGUUCUUGGGGAUUAUCUGACACCAUUGUUAGUGGACAUUCUUUAAUUGUACCUCAUGGUUCUCUUAAUAUUGAUGGUUUUAAUGUCAUAUCUUAGUUGUACCUCGUGGUUCUUAAAUAUUCACUUUUAUGAAAAAAUAUGAAGGCUUUUCAUUUCUUAAAGUUUUGAACACUGAUAAUAUAAUUUUCUUAUGACAGGGACAAGCCACCUACAAAAGCAGUUCUUGCUAUAAAUACCAAUUUUUCUAGAGUCAAGAAACCCAUAUCUUUUAAAUUGAUUUGGCCACCUUUACCUUCCGAGGGCUCAUCUGUUCAUGGUGUAAAUGAUUCCGAUUCUUUACCAAAUGACAUCAUUUCUGACGGAGAUAGUUGUUCCAUUUGGUUUCCUGAAGCGCCUAAUGGAUAUGUUGCAUUGGGCUGUGUGGUUUCCCCAGGAAGAACACAACCACCACUGUCAGCUGCUUUUUGUAUCUUGGCUUCUUUGGUUUCUUCUUGUUCCUUAGGGGAUUGCAUUGCAGUCAGCACCACAAAUCUGUAUGUUGUACUUUCAGACUAUGUUACUUUUAAUAAGUUCAGAUUACACCAGGGGUGCCAAUGGUUCAUACUAAGGUUCAACACAGUUCCAAAUUAGGCAGGACUUAAUACAGUUUCGAUGGUUUAAAAUUUAAUAAAUCUGAUCCACCAAAAGUUUGAAUCAUAUUAUAGUAUAUUUGAAUUGCAGUUUUUACCUUAAAAAAAUAAUCGUCAAGUCAGAGAUAAUAUUGUGCAAGUUAUCAGUCUUUUCCAGAACGUAAUGGAAACAUAGAAUAUAUAUUUGAUUUCUUCUUGGCUCCAAACUUCAACAUAUUGUAAGAACUAUUUCAGAUUUGGGGGUAUCCAUAUAUUCUUCAAUAUAAUUGGACUUGUACAUAUAUCCUGAUAGAUCCAACUAGAAUGACCCAUUGAUAGCCUUAUGUUAGGGCAUCUUCUUUUCUGGUUCUUGGAAAACUAUAACGUGAGGAAUAGUUUUAUGAUUAAUCUUCUUUUCUGGUUCUUGGGAAACUAUAACGCGAGGAAUAGUUUUAUGAUUAAAUAAUUCCUAUCCCGUCUGUCUGAACGCUAUUUGUUUUGAUAAGAAAUGGUUAGGACUUUUGAUUUGUCAUUCCAUUUUAAAUUGCAGAUAUCCGUCAAGUGUAGCAUUCUGGCGUGUGGAUAAUUCUGUUGGCACCUUUUUGCCAGCAGAUCCUAGUACUUCUACUGUAAUGGGUACAGCAUAUGAUUUGCGUCACAUGAUAUUUGGAUUGCCAGAAGCAUCUGUAAAGUCAUCUAAUCAUUUGGAUGUGCAAGCUUCUUCUGCUCACAGUCACAACCUCCAAUCAGAAGUAUCAGCAUCUGUAAAUUCUGCUCGGCGUUAUGAAGCUGUUGCUAGUUUCCGAUUGAUAUGGUGGAAUCAGAGCUCUAACUCAAGGAAGAAACUGUCCAUAUGGCGUCCAGUUGUCCCUCAUGGGAUGGUAUAUUUUGGUGAUAUUGCAGUCAAAGGGUAUAUGAUAAUGGAUAUCUUAUUCUUAUUACAUUCCGUGUAUGUUUUCUUUUGUUGUAUCUAAGUAACAUAAGUUUUGAUGCUUACUAAACUUAGGUAUGAGCCUCCAAAUAACUGCAUUGUUCUUCAUGAUACUGGAGACGAAGGGAUCUUCAAAGCCCCUCUUGAUUUCCAAGUUGUUGGUCAAAUUAAGAAACAGAGGGGAAUGGAGAGUAUAUCGUUUUGGCUUCCUCAAGCUCCUCCAGGUUUUGUUGCUCUUGGUUGCAUAGCAUGUAAGGGAACACCAAAACAGAGUGAUUUCAGCUCAUUAAGAUGCAUGCGCAGUGAUAUGGUAGUUGGGGAUCAAUUUUUGGAAGAAAGUGUAUGGGAUACAUCUGAUGCCAAGCUUACAAGAGAUUCGUUUAGUAUAUGGGCAGUUGGCAAUGAGUUGGGGACCUUUAUAGUUCGUGGUGGAUUCAAGAAACCUCCAAGAAGGUUGGCUUUAAAGUUGGCUGACUCACAUGUACGGAGUGGCUCAGAUGAUACUGUAAUUGAUGCAGAAUUUAGAACUUUUUCUGCAGCACUUUUUGAUGACUACGGUGGCUUGGUGAGAAUUCAUACUCUAUAUAGUUUCAUAUAGAAUUUAAACUAACUGUUACAUGCUGAAAUUUCUCCUGGUUAAAAGUAGUGUGUAAUGAAUAACGAAGUAUGCGAAGGGAUUAAUUAGUUGGUUCUUUUUGUGGAUGAGGUGGGAGAUCUCUGGACUAAAAUUAGAGACCUAGUUUCAUUACAGGCAUCUUUGUAUAACAUUAGGGAUGUCUCUUUUAGUAUAAUUCAUCUUUGAUUGUUUGUUUUCUUUUGUUAAUUAUGGUCAUUCUUUGGUAGUCAGUUCACUUUAAUGGAUUUGUUGUCGAUCUUUUCUUGCAUCCUUUUUUUUAAAAUAAAAAGUUAUUUAUAGAAUUUUUGUUUCCUGUAAAAGUAAAAAAUUAAAAAAAACAUUAUGUUUUUUUAGUUGGUGAAUCAAUAAUUCUGAUUCUUGAAAGUUUGGAAAACCAAUGAGGUUUCUCUCAUGCAUUUAAUGGGAAAGCACUUACUCUUAUAUAGUCGACUUCCUGGUAGAAAGCUUUUCUGAGGGUGGGGCUUGACCGGUUGAACAGUAAUAAUUUUGUGUUUGAUAUAAUUUGUUUAAUGAGAAAGGACAGGGCCUUGGAGAAGAGAUGGAAGAGAACAAGGGUAUAUUGACAUAAUAUUUCUAUGGACUUAAUUCUCCUAGUUUUGGGUUUGCCUUUUUUGGUAGCUUCAUACUCUUCAAUGGAUUGCUUUGGUGUUCUUUUAUGCCUCAAUUUUUAUUUGACUUUUUGUUCAUCCUUCAUAUUCAGCUUCAUGUUCUUUGAACUUUUGUAUGCAUUUACUUAUUCCUUUGUUGGUUUUGAUCUCGUGUUCUCUGUUCUUCUUAUGAAACCUUUUAUACUUUGUAUUAAUGUUCUGAAUUGUACAUAAUUAAACCUUUUAUCUUCUUUUCUUUAAGAAAAUAAUAAGUUAAUGUUUUAUUUUAGUUCAUGGUUAUUGUUAUUGAAAGCUGAAAAACCUACUGUUACAUUAAUUUGCUACUAAUUGAAGGUAUUUUUCUAAUUUUUCUUUUUUGAAAAGAAACAUAAUUUUAUUAAAGUAGGAAAGCUAAUUACAAAGAGUGGGCAAGGAAAUUUUUCUUAUGAUUUUGUUUUAUGGAAUGUGGCAGAUGGUUCCAUUGUUUAAUGUCUCUUUAAGUGGAAUUGGGUUCAGUUUGCAUGGAAGAACAGAAUACUUAAAUUCUACUGUGAGCUUCUCUUUGGCUGCUAGAUCAUAUAACGAUAAGUAUGAAAUUUGGGAGCCUCUUGUUGAGCCAAUGGAUGGAUUCUUAAGGUAAUUUACUGUACUACGUCAAAUGUUAACACUAUAUUGGGAACAUAUGUGAUGCAUUUAAUAUUUUGAUCAGCACUGAAUCGAUUGUUUAAUUCCAUUCCCUGCUUUACUUGCUAGUACUGUUUAAAUGUGCUGUAAAUUCACAGUUUUAGUAGCAGCAUGAACUCCCCCUACCUACCCAUUUCUUUUAAUUUAGAACAAUUUGAAUUUCUGGUGUUUCUAUUAUAUUAUAUUUCAAUUGGCCCCAAUCUUGGGAUUUGAACGAUGACCAUGCUUUGUUGGUUAUGGGUCUCGAGACUAUGGUAAGAUUCUGAAAAGGAAGAGGGCUUGAGGAACAUCCGUUGAACAGUUUGUAUCUGUUAUAGUCUUUUUAUAUAUCAGCGAAGGCCAUUGAUAUGUGUUCAUCUCACUAUUGAGCUUGCUAGGAUUUUGAAUUUAGUUAAAUGAGGUCAAGGUGGGUGACUUACCAAUGUUAAUUUGAUGGAUGACAAAUUGGGUUUGUUAGACAACCAGCGGCUCCAAAAGCUUAAGUUGUUAGGGAACUGGCUAAGAUGCAGUGAGCCCCUCUGGCACCUUAGAGUUCGAAGAUGGACGGAGAGCUAGAAAAACAGAUAGGCGUAGGUGCAGCCCCACCAUGCACCAUGAAAACCAAAAAAUAAGUGGAAAAUAUGUAUUAUUCUUGCACGUUAGGUAAAGACAUUUGUGUUCAUAUCAUUCUUGCAUGUUAGGUGAAGGCAUUUGAAAUGGGAAGAUAUGUAAUGGAUAGUGUAAAUGGGAGAAGAAAUAAGAAAAAUUAAAAUUUUUGUGACUCCAUUAAUUGAAAGGUUAGAGAGCUAGAUCUUAUAUCUCAUGUGGUGUUUUUCUUGUUCUUUUUCCAUCUUUUUUUUGUUCUUUUGGGGUGAAGGGGUGGGGGGAGAAGCUUUGUGUAUGUGUGUGUGUUUGUUUGUUUUUAUUUAUUUUUGUCCUUGCUUUUGAUGUUAUUGUGGUUAUAUUUGAUUCAAAUUUUCACAUAUGCAUCACGUGUAGUUAUUCCCUAAUUUAUGGUUACUUACAGGUAUCAAUAUGAUCCUAGUGCUCCAACUGCAGCUUCCCAGUUACGUCUUACCUCUACUAGGGAACUGAACUUGAACGUUUCUGUGUCUAAUGCUAAUAUGAUAAUUCAAGCUUAUGCAAGCUGGAACGGUCUUAUUCAUGUUAAUGAAUAUCAUAGAAAAAGAGUAAAUUUCUUCUGGUUCCAUCACUAAUAUGAAAUUUAUCUUGUACAUUUUUUCUCCUUUCUGCAAUUGUCGAUUAUUGCUUACAGUUCUACCUUUUCUUUUUGUUUUAACAUGACAUCAUAUAGGAAGCAUCCUCUCCAACAGAUGGUGGAGUAUCUGUUAUUGACGUCCAUCACAGGAGAAACUACUAUAUAAUUCCACAAAACAAACUUGGUCAGGAUAUCUAUAUUCGAGCUACUGAAUUAAGGGGACUCGCAAACAUAAUUAAGAUGCCAUCUGGGGAUAUGAGGCCUCUAAAAGUUCCCGUUUCCAAGAAUAUGUUGGACUCUCACUUGAAGGGAAAACUUUUCCGUAAAGUUAGAAGAAUGGUGACUCUUAUCAUAGUGGAUGGGCAGGUAUACCCUCUUUUCUUAUGGACGCAAUUGCUUAAUUCCUUCCAUAUAUCUUGUAUUCAAAGAGUAUCUGAAUUUCAGCUAGUCACACAAUUGUGUUUUUGUAUAUGUUACAUAGUGAAAUGGCUUCCCUUAUCUUGACUACUCAUCUACCUGCAAUUGCAGUUCCCACAGGGUAGAGGGUUGACAUCCCCCCAGUAUACCAUAGCAAUCCGCCUCAGUCCUGACCCGAGUCUCCCUAGUGAAUCAUUGAGCCAUCAACAAAGUGCACGUACUUGUGGAAGUAGCUCGGAACAGUUAUCUUCAGAGCUUGAGUUGGUCAAGUGGAAUGAAAUUUUUUUCUUUAAAGUUGAUGAUCCAGUAUGUAGAAUGUUUUUCUCUUAACAAUUUCUUCCCAAUUAAAUAACUGCUCUGCUUUUACAUGUGCGAGGUCUUUGCACAUUUGUUUUCACAUCUCUUAUCACCAAAAUUUGAUUUUGUUAAAGCAUGACUCUUCAACUCAACAUGUCCAGUUUUGCUGUAUAUGAGGAGAAGGGCUUCAUAUCCCCUUGGCCACUUUAUAAAUAAAUUUUAUUCUUGCGCCAAGAAAUUUGUGUAACAUCUGUUCACCUAAAAUAUAAUUUGAGAACAAUUUCAUUCCCUUUGGUUGCUAAGACAAGCUAAGUCAAUUUUUUUAACCCCACGUCACAUGUUAAAUUUCAGCUUUCAUACUUUUCAAAUGAUAGAUAUUAAUGUUGCUUGUUGAUGAAUAUAGUGCCUGCUAGUUAUACCAUCUGAAUCUGGCACAUCAUAAAUGAUUCGUUUUCUUAAAAUGAGUUAAUGCUUGUUUUUGCCUCUGCUUUUUUUGUUUUGGUUUUUUUUUUUUGCUGUGGUUAUUUCACAGUAUCAACGAUACAUCCUUUUGCCCAUGUUAUAUGUCAUUUGUUUGGAAGUUGUAUGAGCAUAAAGUAGCCUUCUUAUUAGUGGUAACAUCCUAUUUUCAUAUUCUCUGUCGCCAUUUGGUGGCCACCUCAACCUCUUCUAUCCAAAUUUGUGCAGGAUUACUACUCAGUGGAAUUAAUUGUCACGGAGCUGGGGAAAGGUACUGCUUUUUAUUUUUUCCCUUACUCAAUCUGUUGUUUUUAAAGUUAAUACACGAUAGUUUAUUAUUAAUCUGCACGCCAUAGGGAAUAUCUAUGUUAUAAAGAUACUCUGUUAAGCCUCUGUAGAAAAUGUCAACUUUAGACUUCUUAUUUGCUAAGUUAAGGUACUUGAGGAAAAUAUGCAUUAUUUCUCCUCUGUUUAUCAAACUAUCUAUUUUGGACAAGAAUUUCACUUUUCAUGUUUAAUUUUACAGGGGUCCCUCUUGGAUUCUUUUCAUCCCCUCUAAAGCAGAUUGCAGGGAAUAUCCAUGAUGAUUCAUACGCAUAUGAUAGUGUGAACAAAUGGACCUGGGUUGAAUUAUCCUCGACAAAUUCUGCGGUAGAGUUCUUUCUCAUAUCUUAGCAAUAUCCUUUUUUCUUGUCGUAUCUGUUUUGUGGCAAAACAUGUAGUGUUGCCUCCUUCUAGGGUAAAAUUUUAUCAAGCAUUUACUGACAAGUGUAUUUUUCAACCUUAUAAUAUUUACGUCAACUGUGAUUCAGGGAAAUAACGGUGAAAAGUUGAGUGGUAGAAUCAGAUGUGCUGUGCUCUUGUCACCAAGAUCUGAAGCUGAGAUAAGUGAUCAAUCAGAUAACAGUAACAGAAAAUCUGGAUUUAUUCAGAUCAGUCCAAGCAGGGAAGGACCUUGGACUACUGUGAGGUUGAACUAUGCUGCACCGGCCGCCUGUUGGCGGUUAGGGAAUGAUGUUGUUGCUAGUGAAGUACAUGUGAAGGAUGGCAACCGAUAUGUCAAUAUUAGGUCUCUUGUUUCGGUACGUAACAGUACGGAUUUUGUACUUGAUUUGUGCCUUGCAUCGAAAAUUUCCAUGGAAGAGACGACGUCAACAAAUAAUGAAAGUACCCCUGAAGGUUUACAAAUCCACAGCAAUAAACUUCAGAGUGAUGAGUUCUUUGAAACUGAAAAAUACAGCCCAGGCACUGGCUGGAUUGGCUACAUGGUUCAACCAAGCCAAGAUAUCUUCGAAAGUGGAGGAUCUCAUCAGGUAAGAUAUUAGUUGAAGUUCUUGGCAUGUGUUAGUUACUCAUGUAGCUUGAUCUAGUCAUUGUUCUUCUAUGCAAGGCUUUUCAUAUUGAAUUUCAAUUCUGUUGAUAAAGCUUACCAUGCUUGAUUUAAACUACAGUAUGGUUUCAUAUUUUAUUAUUGCCUUGUAUUUUACUUUUAUUUCCAAUUCUAAUCCAAAAUUGGAAGCUAUAAUAUCCGUAAACUAUAUUUUUAUAUGGAUUGGUAGUAUACUUUGUGAUUCUUUUGAUUAGAGAACAAAAAAUUUUAUAAAAGAGAAAAGUGAUACGAAGAAAGAUUGUGAAGUCCAGCAAACUUGCAAAAGCGGCAACGAAUGCCUUAACAAGAAAAAUUACAACAGCUCUAGCCAAUCAAGACGAGUUACACUAAAGGUCUCUAAAUUUAUUAGCAUAGAUAGUCAACUCUUAUCCAAAGUAAAACUUCCUCCAUCCUGUCAUCAGAGAAUGUUUUAUUCAUUUACCCCAACCAAAACUGCACAUCUCCAAAGUGUAAACCACUUUACAAAAAGGUCCUCGGUGAACACAGCAAUUUCUUGGUCAAACCCACUCCACUCUAAACUGUUGUGCAACCUACUCACAUCGGUCUUGAAUAUAUCUAAUUCAAACACAUUGAUUUAGGGAUGGUUAAACUCCUUUAUUGUCUGUGGCAUUAUUAGACAGGUUGGAAUAGUAAUUCUGGAGCCGUUAGCUUGUUUCUAAUUACUGUUGGUAAUGCAGGGAAUUCCUGCUGUUGAGUUACCACCAGGCUGGGAAUGGGUUGAUGAUUGGCAUUUGGAUAAGGCAUCUGUUAACACUGCUGACAGUUGGGUUUAUGCUCCAGAUGUUGAUAGUUUAAAAUGGCCGGAGUCAUUUGAUCCCUUAAGGUUUGUAAACUAUGCAAGGCAAAGGAGAUGGAUCAGGAAUAGAAAACAAAAUGUUACAAAUCAAAAAAUACAUAUUGGACUUUUGAAACCUGGAGAUACGAUAUCCCUUCCCCUAUCUGGGUUAGCACAACCUGGAAUGUAUGUCUUGUGUUUAAGGCCGUCCAAUCUCAGCAAUCCUAUUGAAUAUUCUUGGAGUUCAGUGGUGGAUGGGUCUGAACAAGCAGAGGAUUCUAGUAAGUCAAAACUAUGUUCCGGGAUAAGUGUGUCAUCUCUCACUGAGUCAGAGGAACUGUUGUAUUGCACCCAGAUAAGUGGUACUUCUUCAAGUGUUCUGCCUAAGUUGUGGUUUUGUAUGAGUGUACAAGCAACUGAUAUUGCAAAAGACAUUCAUUCUGAUCCUAUCCAGGAUUGGAAUCUUGUAAUCAAGUCCCCGUUAUGCAUCUCCAAUUUUAUUCCACUUGCUGCUGAAUUUUCUGUUCUUGAGAUGCAAGAAAGUGGUAACUUUGUUGCCCGCUCCAGAGGAGUGUUUUUUCCAGGAAAAACUGUCGAUGUUUAUAAUGCUGACAUAAGAAAGCCUUUGUUCUUUUCACUGCUUCCACAAAGAGGGUGGCUGCCCAUACAUGUAAGCUUUCAAGACCAAUCUAGUCCUUGCUCUUUUCUUAUGCUGAUAUUUUUGUUUGGCAUAAAAUGUUUGUAAAUCCGACCAUUUCAUUUGUUUGUUUGCAGGAGGCUGUUCUUUUAUCACAUCCUCAUGAAGUUCCGUCAAAAACCAUAAGUUUGAGAAGUUCGAUAUCUGGAAGGUUUCAAAUUGAAUAAUUUGCAUAAUAUAUUGUAUUGGAUAUCUUAGCUCUUUUGUACAUUUAUUGAAGUGGGUUUCUUUUAUAGUCUAAUCUUGCUAGGUAUUGUUUCUGCAGGAUUGUUCAAAUCAUUCUUGAACAGAAUUCUAACCAAGAACGACCACUGCAGGCUAAGCUCGUUAGAGUCUAUGCUCCUUAUUGGUAUUCAAUUGCUAGGUGUCCCCCUCUUACAUUUAGGCUUCUAGAUAUAAAAGGAAAGAAACAUACACGCAAGGUUGGUUGUCCACUUGAAUCUAAAAAGAACAAUGAAGCUAUCCUCGAGGAAAUAACUGAAGAGGAAAUAUAUGAAGGCCAUACAAUUGCUUCAGCUUUGAACUUUAAAAUGUUGGGCCUUGUGGUGUCCAUUGAUCAAUCUGGCACGGAGCAGUUUGGACCUGUUAAAGAUCUUUCUCCCCUUGGUGACUUGGUAGAUGUCAAUCAAUAUUAACUUUGCAUUGAGACAUUAUUGGUAAAGAAGCCUUGUUAAGAUUUUCUCUGUUCUUGUUUUUAGGAUGGGUCACUGGAUCUCUAUGCUUAUGAUGGUGAAGGCAAUUGCAUGAGGCUUUUUAUUACAACGAAACCAUGCCUAUAUCAAUCUGUUCCCACAAAGGUAGUUAUAAAUAUGAGAGAUUGCAAUGAAUCUUUGUAUUAGUCAUUUACUCUUUGCCCUCUUUCCAGGUAAUUUCUGUGCGACCAUAUAUGACUUUUACCAACAGACUUGGUCAGGACAUAUAUAUUAAGUUGUGCAAUGAGGAUGAACCAAAGGUCCUUCGAGCAACUGAUUCAAGAGUCUCAUUUGUACAUCGUAAAUCAGACAGACCUGAUAAACUUGAGGUUAGUGGAGUGCAUAUAGUUAUAAUACUAUUGUCUUGACAUAUCUACCAAUCAACCUUGUAUCUUUACUUGUUGACGUGACCCUCCUAUAGACCUAACCCUAAAGUUUAUGCCCAUUGUUGAGAAAAAUAAGGGAGCAUGAGGUACAUUAAUCUUAAUCCUAAAAGGAUCAAAAUAAGGAGCAACCUAAUCACUUAGGAAAUUUCGUCGUAGUACUAGUAGGAAACUAAUUAACAACCAAAUCACUUGACUGAAGAAAUUAGAUCACAGUCCUAACCUGACUUGAAAACCAAAUAUUCUUAUAAUUUAUUGACAAUAUACUUUGUUCUGCAACACUCCCUCUCAAGUUGGAGCGUUUUUGCAUAGCUUAACAUGACUUGAGAAAUAUAACUAACUUAGAACAUAAAAGAAAAGAAAAAAAAAUUAAAAGCAGAAAAACAUUGUGUUCCUGGAGAGCUGAGAAGAAAGAGAUGUGAACUUAGGGAUGAAUUCAAAUUCAAAUAUGAAUCUUAAGGGAAUUUUCUUGGAGACAAAAGGAAAAAAAUGGAAGCGGUAGGACCACAGGAGGGUAGGCUAGUGCUAGGAAUGUAGGAGAGUGAACAAGUCUGACAAAUAAGUUUGAGGAUGGAAAGGGUAACAUUAUAAAGAUCGUGGAGGUAGUUAUGAAUGUGAAGUAAUUACUGUUUGAUUGGCUUUGUACUGAAGAUGAAAGGGUGGCAUUUAUGAUGGAAGAGCUAGAUUGGUGCUCAAUUUUUGUGGAGAAAGCUAGUUGGCUGGGAACACCUUUCGAUGAGAAGGAAAAUAGAAAAUCUGAGUUUGACUGUGGUUUGAAACAUAUGAUCCAGAUCAGAUGGCGGUUUCUCAAGAUUGUUGGGAUGUUGUCAAAGUUGACUUAUUGAAGGUUUUCUGGAAACUUUUUCUACACCAAGUUGUUAAAUCUUGUACUAGCAUAACUUAUAUUUGUUACAUACCAUAGAAAACCCAGUCAUUGAGAGUAAAAAUUACUAGCCCCAUAUGUUCAGUCACGAGUCUGUAUAAGGUCAUAAAAAAGGUGCUAUUCAUGAGAUUGAGGGUAAGUGUUCAAAAUGAACUACGUAGAAGUGCAAUCUUGAUUUCAUCCUUAGUGAACUUUCAAUUUUCCUUCCAAGUUCCAUGAGGUUUGCAUUUUAUCAACCAACUGUUCAGAAUUUUUCUUUUAACUAUGGUCACGAUCAAGAGAUUUUAUCUUAUACACUUUGGCAAAUUUUAUUACUAUAUUGUUCUGUUACAUUUUUAGGUUCGAUUAGAAGACACCGACUGGUCUUUUCCUGUCCAAAUUGUAAAGGAGGACACCAUAUCUCUUGUUUUGAGGAAGCAUCCUGGUACUAGGACAUUUUUGAGAACAGAAAUUCGGGGCUAUGAAGAAGGCUCACGUUUCAUCGUUGUGUUCCGCCUUGGAUCAACCAAUGGUCCUAUCAGGUACUUGUGUGUUUCUACAUGCACAACACACACACAGAUAUAAUGUGUACAUAUAUAUACACACAUAUUUAUAUAUAUAUAUGUGUGUGUGAGAGAGAGAGAGAGAGAGAGAGAGAGAGAGAGAGAGAGAGAUGUGACUAACCUAUUAAACCUUUGCAUCGUCAGAAUCGAGAACAGAACAGACAGCAAAACAAUUAGCAUUCGACAAUCGGGUUUUGGUGAAGAUGCCUGGAUUCCCAUAGCACCUCUUUCGACAACAAAUUUUUCAUGGGAGGAUCCUUAUGGCCAAAAAUUCAUACAAGCUAAGGUUGACAGUGAGCUAGAAAUUGGACCUUGGGAACUCGAUUUGGAAAGGACUGGGAUAUUUUAUGCAGAGGAGGGACUUGGAUUACAAUUUCAUGUUAUAGAAACCAGUGAUAUCAAGGUAGCAAGGUUCACAAAUGCCACAACUUCAGGGACAAAUUCACAUCGGCAACUUGCUGGAAAUUGGGGGCAUUCCCACAUGCCAAACACCAUUCAAAAUAAUGGUGCCACACCUGUUGAGCUUAUAAUUGAGUUUGGAGUUGUAGGGGUCUCUAUUAUAGACCAUAGACCAAAAGAGGUGUCCUACUUGUAUUUUGAGAGAGUCUUCGUAUCAUAUUCAACUGGUUAUGAUGGUGGGACAACGGCCAGGUAAGAGCAUCACCUUCUUAAACUCCAUAACAUUUUCUUCAACAUGUGAUUCAGUUGUCAUGUUAUGUGAAACAGGUUUAUCAAAUGAUAGGAGCUAUUGAAUACAUUAAUUAGGACUCUUGACUGACAGUUACCUCACUUAUGAAACCAAUAGAGGAUACAAUGAAUAUGAAGCAGUGUAAAAGAAUCAUUUCUUUUGCAUGCCCAAAAGAAUCAUUUCAAUACUUAAGAAUGUCAUAUUGAUAGUUUAUAGAAUCAAGGACCUGUUUGGUAUUGUUGUGACUUUUAAAAUACUACUUUCAAUAUGUUGUGAGAAAAAUUAGCCUUAGUAAACCAAGUGUUUGGUGAACUGUGGCUGUGAAAGUAUUGUGAGUAUGAAAGUUUGAAUCAAAACCCUAAUAAAACAGUUUCCUAAUAAAGUUUGAAUCUGAUGUUUACAGGCAUUUCCCUAGUUAUAGGAAAUAUAUAUGAAUUAUAGAUGCAUUUUCUUAAAUAUUAAAUGUGGGGAUGUUAUUGCAUGGCAAAUUUGUUGGGAAUAAAUCCCACUGGCAUCACAAAUAAACCGAUGGAAAGCUAGAAAAUAAUGAAGCACCAAGAUGAAAAUGAGAGUACAAGAGCCCACCAAAAUAACUUCCACAAAGAUAACUAUCCGAAGCUGUGAACUCUGUGACCAUUUCUAAUAAAGAAAUAGCAUCUUAAUGCCUUAUGGUAUUCUCAUGGUAGGUAGACUCAACCAGCCCUAAUGUUUUUUUAAAACGUGCAAUGUGCGCAGUAGUCCUUUUGGUUGGGAGCAAAUUGUGUGGCUUCUUGUAGCUGUUAUUGCUCUGAAGAGGUUAUGUGGCCAGUAGAAACAUCCAGCUAGAGUAAAGAUUCAUAAGAAAACUAACAGGUUUCUUUUUAUUUUAAAGAAAAACAACUUUUUUCUAUGUUUGGCCUACUCUUUGGGAAUGAAAACAUCCUUGUUGACGAUUGUUAAUACAUUUGUGUGUGAGACAUAGAAGAGACAAAGGUUAAUACAUUUGUGUGAGAGAGAGAGAAGAGAAAGAGGUUGCACAGCUUGUUUUGUUUAAAUGUGUGAACAAAAAUACGGGUAGAUGUAUAUAAAAAUUAAAAUUGCUUUGGAAUUUUAUUUUAAUUGUUUGAAUAUGUGACUAUCAUUUGGCAUUAUUGAAAUUUUUUGAUCAGUUUUUCUGUUUUCCACCUCCAUAGUGGAAAGUGUGCUAGAUUUUAGUGACUGAAGCAUCUUCUGUCUAUAACUCCGCGUUAUCAGCUCCAUCAUCACUCAAAUGUUGCUUUGCUUAUUAGAAAUAAUGCUUACACCAAACAUUCGUGUUCCUUUCUGCCAGGUUCAAGCUCAUAUUGGGCCAUCUGCAGUUGGACAACCAGCUUCCUCUAACAUUGAUGCCAGUGUUGUUGGCUCCUGAAAUGAACUCUGACUUGCAUCAUCCAGUGUUCAAGAUGACAAUUACAAUGCGUAAUGAAAAUAUUGAUGGUAUCCAGGUGUACCCUUAUGUUUAUAUACGGGUAAUUCUUUUUAACACGAUGCCUAAAAGGUCUGUAUCAAUUGCAACAGUGAGAUGUUUGCCUAAGCUCUGACCAAAUUUAUGAUGACAUGAUAGGUAACCGAGAAGUGUUGGAGGCUUAAUAUUCAUGAACCAAUAAUUUGGGCGUUGGUGGAUUUCUACGAUAAUCUACAGUUAGAUCGUGUACCUAAAAGUUCUAGUGUCAAAGAAGUUGAUCCUGAAUUACGCAUUGAGUAAGUAUCACAACUUGUUUUUGUGUCCUGAAAAACUGCAAUUCAUUGGACUUGCAGUGAUAUAAUUCUGGUGUGCUGAAGUGAACUGUGCUUUCUCCUUCACCACCAUCCUUAUUUUUGGGUGGUUAAGUGCAUAUGCCAAGGCUUUGGCUUUUUUUAUUUAUUAAAAAUCAACUUUCAUGUUCAAACUAUAUAUCAGUGUAUAAUACUUAUGUGAAAAUUAAUAAACUUGGUCCAUAUCCAGGUCAUUUGCAAUAGUAUUAAUUAUGUUUCCUUUUCUUGUGAGGGUUCUCAGUGACUUCGUAUUUUUUACCCCUUGGAUUGGUACUGUCAUAAUUCUUUCUCCAACCCCCUUGCUGCCAGGUUGUAGUUUUCUGUCUUUGCUGCCUGUCAACUAUUGGGUUUCCCCAAACCUACUAAACACAGUAUAGUAUGCGUGUUGCAAUAGUACAUCUAGAAUUAGUAGUGUCAUCUUUCUACUGAUAUUGCAAACUUUAUAACUCCGUCUACUGAUGGGAAAUAGAAUUAUAUUGUCAACUAGCAGGAACUUAAUCUUCUGUGAUUUGAUUAUGGGAGUGACAUUUCCUUAAUCUUUUUCCCCCAUUCUUUCCAGCCUAAUAGAUGUUUCAGAAGUUAGGCUGAAGGUCGCAUUGGAAACAGCGCCGGCUGAAAGACCUCAUGGGGUUUUAGGGGUGUGGAGUCCGAUACUAUCAGCUGUCGGAAAUGCAUUCAAGAUUCAGGUCAGCUCUCUGGCUUAUCUGGGUGUUUUUACUGUGCAUAUUGGGUGGUUCUAUAGUUGAAUGCUAUGAUUUUCUUUCCAGUUUUUGUAUUGACUUUUUUAUUUUUAAUUUUUCCUACUCACGUUUGUAAGUAUUCUUAAAUUUGCAGCAAUUCGUAUGGCCAACAUGAUAUGUAGACUUAACACGUUUCCAAUCUAUUAUGUAGUGGUAAUAUUGGGAUUGACGCUAUGCUCAUGACACUAAUAUCUCAUUGCUGCAGGUGCAUCUUAGAAGGGUGAUGCAUCGAGACAGAUUCAUGCGGAAGAGCUCCAUUGUUUCUGCCAUUGGUAACCGUAUUUGGAGAGAUCUGAUCCAUAAUCCUUUACAUUUGAUAUUUGCGGUUGAUGUACUUGGUAUGACAAGUUCAACUUUGGCAUCUCUUAGUAAAGGGUUUGCAGAGUUGUCAACUGAUGGGCAAUUUAUGCAACUACGUUCGAAGCAGGUAAGUUCUCAUAUUAACCUAGAAAACAACAAAGAGAGAAAAAUUAGCUGUUCAUUUCUAUUACAAAAGGCUAAUUUUGACAUGGUUUCAGGUAUCAUCAAGGAGAAUAACUGGGGUGGGUGAUGGAAUUAUGCAAGGUACAGAAGCACUUGUGCAAGGUGUUGCUUUUGGGGUGUCUGGAGUAGUGAAAAAACCUGUAGAGAGUGCUAGACAGAACGGGUUCUUAGGAUUUGUUCAUGGGCUUGGACGUGCUUUCGUGGGAGUGAUAGUGCAACCAGUCAGUGGGGCAUUGGACUUCUUCUCAUUGACUGUUGAUGGAAUUGGAGCAAGUUGUUCCAAAUGCUUAGAGGUUUUUAAUAGCAAAACAACCUUCCAGAGAAUUAGAAAUCCCCGAGCUUUCCGGGCCGAUGCUGUACUCAGAGAGUAUUGUGAGAGAGAAGCUGUCGGGCAGGUAAUUUGUUACCGCUUUUAUGUAAAUUCUAUGUGCAAUACUAGAAAUUUUAUCUCCCAUUAGCCAGAGAAACUAUGAGCCUUUUCUUAACUUUGUAAACUUCAGAACAGAGGAUGAGAGUUGACUGGUGAGAAGGGUGACUUGAGUGAUGGAUGGAACUAUUUACAUUAGUAAUACUGCGAGUCUGAGUGAGUAGGAUACAGGAUCCAUACAAUAUUUGAUGGCUUGGUUUUUGUGAGCCUGAGAUGGUUAAAAGUUCAAAGAAGCCCUUAUGGAGUUUUUGUGAUUUUAAUUCUUAACUUUAAUGAAUCAUUGUUGAAAAGCUUGAAAUACACGUUGUAUGAAAUAUAAAUGAAAAGUAUCUUUUAAUUCUUACCCCCUGAACUACAAAAGUUGUGAGUGUUCGGUAUUUUGGUUUGACACUGCUUCAACCCAAAAGAAGUUAGCUAGGUCUUAUCAUUUUCAGGAAAAGGAGUGUAGCUGUAGUCAGUCACUAUUAUCUUAAUGUACACUUCUUAUUUAUUUUUAUUUUAUUUGUUUUUUUUCGUAGAUGAUUUUAUACCUUGCAGAAGCACAUCGGCAUUUUGGUUGUACUGAAUUAUUCAAGGAGCCCUCAAAGUUUGCUUGGUCCGAUUAUUAUGAAGAUCAUUUUGUUGUGCCUUACCAGCGAAUUGUUUUAGUGACCAAUAAGCGAGUCAUGCUGCUUCAGGUUAGUAACAGUCUUUGCUAUAGCCUAUAGAUACCUCUGUUAUAUGUUACCAAGUUUGUCUGCUUGACAUUCAGUCUCUUUUCUUUCCCCUUUAGUGUUUGGCUCCAGACAAAAUGGAUAAGAAACCUUGCAAGAUCAUGUGGGAUGUACCUUGGGAAGAGCUUAUGGCCCUGGAGUUGGCAAAAGCAGGCUGCAAUCAGCCAUCUCACUUGAUCCUCCACCUCAAAAAUUUUAGGAGAUCAGAAAAUUUUGUACGGGUUAUAAAGUGCAGUGUUGAAGAAGAAACUGAGAGACGAGAACCCCAAGCUGUUAAGAUCUGUUCUGUAGUACGUAAGAUGUGGAAAGCAUAUCAGUCUGACAUGAAAAGCAUAAUUCUGAAGGUCAGUAGUGUACAAAAGUAUUAAUUCCUGUAGAGGAGGUAGGAUAUACCAACCCCUAAUAUGAUUCUCCAUUCUCAGGUUCCAUCAAGCCAGCGACACGUGUACUUUUCCUGGUCUGAAGCUGAUGGGAGAGAACAUCGUUUACCGAACAAGGCCAUUACCAGGCUGAGAGAGCUCCCAUCAGACAGUUCUGCAUUGGAUGGUAGGAGAUUUGUUAAACACAGUAUUAACUUUUCAAAGAUUUGGAGCAGUGAACAAGAAUCCAGAGGCCGAUGCACAGUGUGCAGAAAGCAGGUAAUUUAGCGUUCAUCCUGUUGUACCUGUGUCCAGUUUUGGAACUUUAUUGUCUUCUGGUCGAGAGUUUAGAACCCUGCGGUGGUGCAGUUUUAGAUGAAACGUUAUUUCAUACAUUCAGGUUUCGGGAGAUGGUGGAAUCUGUAGCAUUUGGAGACCCAUUUGUCCAGACGGGUAAUUAUGAUAAUUGUUUUGUUUUCUAUUUUUCUUGAAAACCUUAUAAUGUUAAUUGCAUUUAAUUCUAUUUUUUAUCAGUGACUAUAUAUUUUUAUUUAUUUAUUUGGCAUGAGAUCUUGAAUGCCAAUACUUGUGCAGUUCAAUUUCUUGAUGGCCAAGUUGUAGAAUCCUUUCCUGACUAUAAUUGCAUCUUUCUUUGCAUUAGUCAUUUGAGCCUACACUGUUUAAAGGCUACUUGUUACCAAACCUUACUAAGUUUGAGAAACUUCCUUUACAUUCUUGAUCAACUGAAAGGGACUGAAAUGUUGAGAAAAUGCUUUUUCUGUAGCUGAGCUAAAGCUUUGGCGGCUAGGGAAUAUCACAGGUUUAAACUCCCACCCGUCCUAUCCCACUUUUCGCCAAUCAAAGGAGAAAAGUCAAGACAAGACAAAAAUAGUCGUUUGUGGUUCUCUUUUAUCGCCUUUUAUAUAAUGUGAUUUACAAAAACGAAAUUCACGUCUCAAGUGGUGCCAUCAAGAUGCUAUAUGUUGCAAGAAAGUAGAACCCUGGGUUUCAAUUUAUAUUCUAAUUUCAGUAUCCUGAAAGUAUGAAAGUACUGAAUAAUUGGGUGGAGUAUGGACAUCCCCUGGCUGCUACCUCUACUUUGAUUGUCUCCAUUCCAUGUUGUAAUUUCUGUUUGUGGUUGGUUUGUAUAUCCUGUUUGCUUUUCUUUUCAAUAAAGAAGGAAGUAUGCAUUUCACCACCAGAUGCUGCUAACUCACUUGUUAUCAUUGCAAGAUUUGAAGUGUUAUUUUUCUUCUUCCAGGUAUGUCUCCAUCGGUGAUAUUGCUCACAUUGGCAGCCAUCCUCCAAACGUUGCCGCAGUUUACCGUGAGGUUGACAGAUUGUUUGCACUUCCAGUUGGUUAUGACCUGGUAAGAAAUUUAUAAUUAAAUCACAAAUGUAAAACCUGGUUAGGUUUGUUUUUCGUCUGGGUAUAACCUAGUUAGGCUAGUCUCUAGGAUUGUUAACAUUUCUAGGUCAUCUCUCGAUGUAACUCUAGGAUUAUUAGAACUUUUAGGUCCUUGCUUGGCCCCACUGUAGUAUGGCUUCUCUCUCAAUAUAACUUCCUGGGAGAGUAAUCGAUGAAUUGUGGUGUUUUCUUUUGCCCCCAUCUUCAGUUGAAAUAUGUAUGUUUUCUUUUCAUAUAUAGUCAAGUCAUGUGUGAAAUAGUCAAAACACCAUUUGAUUUGUUACAUAACAACAAUUGGAAUGAAAGUAGGGGAUAUUGGAAAAUCUGAUCAUAAAUCAUUCACUCAUUUUAAACUACACAUAGACCGUUUUGUCGUGAUCUUUAUUGAGAUUAAGUUUGUUCAAUAUAGUCUUAUCACUACAGUUAGUGGUGACUACUUUGAUUACGUACGGCGUUGAACUAUGAUGAGUCCGAUGCAGCUUGAAGUUUUGUGAGAAGCUUAAUGGUUCCUAUUAUAGAAUGGCAUUUUUCUGGUCAAAUAUUGAUGACCUCUCUUUGGUCAUCUAUUAUAUAAAUGGUUAAUAUAUGUACAUAUGCAGGUAUGGAGGAACUGCAUGGAUGACUACACAACACCAAUAUCGAUUUGGCAUCCUCGGGCUCCAGAGGGAUAUGUAUCUCCUGGAUGCAUUGCGGUGGCGGGAUUUGUUGAACCCGAACUUGAUGUAGUGUACUGCAUAGCUGAAUCACUUGCUGAAGAGACGGAAUUUGAAGAGCAAAAGGUUUGGUCGGCUCCAGAUUCUUACCCGUGGGUGUGCCACAUUUAUCAAGUCCGCAGCGAUGCUCUUCACUUUGUGGCUCUAAGACAAGCCAAGGAAGAAUCUGACUGGAAACCUACGAGGGUUCUUGAUGAUCCUCAGCCUCUAUUGGACUCACUAAAAGAGACCUGAAAUGUGGGUCUAUAUUGUAAGGCCUUUCCAAAUUUUGCUAGUUAAAUUUCAACCAAAAAGAAAAACAAAAAAAAGGGCUUGAUCAUACAUCAAAUUCUGAGUGUAUAGGACUCUAUAGGAUAGCAUGUCUUCUCUCAUGUUAUGGUUUUUUAUGCAAUUUGCAUCCGAUAGUUGAGGCAGAUUGUAUCACUAUGAUGUCUCUCUAUAAUCCGUUGCCAGUUGAUUUCCGGCUCGAAGUUGAUACAAUGCUUACCAAAUAUGGGUGAACAGAUCGUCAAAUUUCAUAAUUCUAAAUAAGCAGAAAUUAUUUUUUUAAUGACUUCUGCCAUUUUAUUCGGCCCAUUUCAAUUCAUUGAGUAAUCAAAUCACUUGUUAAUUAUAUAUAUAACAUUGUGAAGUUUGAAGAUUCAUUUUACAAGCGUACCGAAAUUUGCUCGGUACCCGAUGUUUUGGCAUAAUUCCACCUUAAAGCAAUUCAGGAGUUUAAUUAUACUCUUAUCACUACCACUACUAACAACUUUUUAUACAUAAAAAAAAAGAAUAUGUGAGUGCCCGUGCCAAGUGCACUGGGGACUGGAAGCUGCCCCACACAUAAAUGUGAGUGGUUCGCCCGUGCCAAGUGUCAACACACUUUUCUGCCGACACUCUUAUGUAUGUCUUGCAUCGACUUCUUACCACCUCAAUUAGCAAAAUAUUAUAAUUGAUCUGUUAACUAUUGAUCUCGAGAGAAAUUUGUUAACAAACUCACAGAAUAUCCUAAUGAAAAAUGUUAUUAAGUUUUCUACUCUCUUAUGUUUUCACAUAAAAAGUGCAUAAUGAUUUUCUUCCUUUUUUAAUUUAAUAUUUUUAAAAUUGAGGAAGAAUCCGUCUAUGCAAUCACAUAAAUUUGACACGUUAAAUUUCUUUAAUAUUUUUUUUUCAUUUUUGUCGAAAUUUUCUUAGUUUUGAUCAUAUUUAACAAAUGUCAAAAUCACAAUGUCAAAAUCAAAAUGGUAUUAAAGAGGAACUCAUCCUCAAUUUGACGGAGCCAAAGUAAUGCUCUUUAAAAAAUAUCCAAAAUAACAAUAAGUUUUUUUUGUUUAACAAAAUGGUUAUUAAAUCGUUGACCAAAAAAAGCCAAAGCCAAUCCAAAUCCAAUCCAAUCAAAUCAAUACACUUUACACUUCCUUAUUUACAAAGUUGCCAUUACCCGCCACUCCUUCACUCCUAACUACCUUCUUCAUCUUCUUCAACCUUUCGGAUCUCUCUCACCUUUCCAUUUGUGAAAUUCAAUGGAGGGUCUGAUCAAGGGUCUGAUCGAUGUGGCGCUCGGUCACGACGAGAACAGGAAUGAAGAUCCGGGCCCACGGGACCGGCAGGAACAGUCCAGAUCCACCUGGGCUCAGGUAAGCUACCACCACUCUUAUUUUUCAAAAGCCUUUUGAAUUUCUCGAUCUUAGAUCACAAGUUAAAGAGUUAAAUUUUGGUGUUGCUUGUACCUGCUGAAAUGCGCAGGUAGUGUCCGGGGAGGAGCAAGAUGAGAAUGACAGUGAUCGCCCACAUGGGUCCAAGCAGAGUCAUUGGAAUCGACAGGUUUGGUUUGGAUUGCAUUGGGGUUUUUGGGUUUUGGUUUUGUUUACUGUGAAAUUAAUGUGAACUGCAAGUGUGAAAACUUGCAGGAACAGAGUCAUUUGGGGCGUGCAGAGUGGGACAAUGUGGAUUCGGAACCUUCAAGGCGACCCCACAAGGUGAAUUGUAUAUUUUAAGUAGUUAAUUUACUUAUUUGUUUGAGAUUUUGUUAUGGGAUUUCGAUUUGUGGUAGAUUGGAUUUGUUGAAGAUCAUUGUUCUAAAUCUGAAGAACCCAUUUUCUAGAAAGAAAACAUCUUCAGGUUUUUGUACAUAAUAUCCAAAAUUUAAUGACUGAAGCAUAAGGAACAAUGAAAUUUAACGAUAAUCUUCCUUUUCAUAGAGGAUCAGGCUUCUCUGUUGGUUAUCAUAUGGAUGAUAUAAUGAAAGAAAGUAUUCGUGGUUUCGAAAGAACUUAUCAUCUUCAUCAUCAUACUUAAGUGACCUUUUUGUUUUGUGGGUUUUAAUGUCCUUUUUAUCUCUUCAUGUGUCAUAUCCUCACAGAUAUCUCAAAUGCAGGCUGCACAUGAGGGAUAUGAAAGGAAUGAUGAUGGUGGACGACAUGGUUAUAACCAAAACUACUCAAGGAGGAAGGUUUGUCUCGUUUUAAUUAUCUGAUUAAUUUUAAUUUAGUGGGAUUCAUUUCGAACAUUUUGGUCAUAUUUUAUUAUCCAUGUUGAAGGAUGAGGAGGAAAAUAAGGAUGGCUGGGAGACUGUUGGAAAGAGGCCUCCAAGGCAACAACCACACAAGGUUUGUUUUCUUCGUUUGAGUUUAUCAAACAUCAAAAAGGCACCUACAGAUAUUGGUUCCAUUUUCAUUAUGGGGGGGCAGCAAAACUGUCAAAAAGUUUGGUCUUAACUUUUUGAUGUUGGGUUAUAGUUUGUUUUUUCAGUAGAUUGGCAUCUUAGCUGCAUUUGAUGUUUUCCUAGAUAAGUUGGGCUUGUAGCCUUGAAACUGUUUCAUCCAAUAUCCAUGUAGUGCAUUAACUAACUUGUACUUCUAUUGAGUUGAAGCUAUUAGAAAUUAAUCUUGAAUUAUAUGAAUUACAGACUUCUGCUACUUUUCCUUUUUUUCCUUGUUGACUAUGCAAUAUUAUAAGUUCAUAACAUUCUAAUCUAUUCUAUUUCCUAGAGGUCUUGUCUUAUUAAUUUAAGUUUAAAAAAAAUGAAUUUGUAAUCUCCUUAUGUAAUGAUCGCUAAAUAAAAAAUCAACAGAUUCAGAUGGGCCAGUGGAAUGGAUAUAAACGGCCUUCCACUGAGCAAGAAUACUCUGAUGAGGCUGAAGUAGGUGCUAAAAUAGAACCUUCUGAAGAAGAGCUUUCUGAUCUGUCACAAGCUUGCAGUAAAAUCUGGGAACUUGAUUUAAACCGUUUAGUGCCUGGAAAGGACUAUGAAAUUGACUGUGGUGGAGGGAAGAAGGUCUACCAAAAGGAAGAUUUGGCAGAAGGCAGCUUAUUUACCUGGCUGAGUGAAGAUAUAUUCAGGAGACCUACUUUUUCUCGUUUCUGUUCUCUUUUAGAUAAUUACAACCCAAAUGAGGGGUGCAAAGAAGUUAUCACAUCUGAGGAGAAGCAAGAGCAGGCUGCAUUCAUAGAAGAAAUCAGCAGAACUGCUCCCAUUAAAUAUCUUCACAAGUAUCUCUCACGCAAGGGCAUUCUAUCUGAGAGCUAUCAAGAUUUUAAAAGAACAUUGACCACUCUCUGGUUUGAUCUCUAUGGCCGUGGUGGUGCAUCUGCUUCCUCCUCUGCUUUUGAACACGUUUUUGUUGGAGAAAUUAAGCAACGUGGUGAAGAAGAAGUUUCAGGCUUCCACAACUGGCUUCAGGUUGUCUUUUAUGACUUACUCUUUACCUAUAUUUUGCAUUUUUAUUGUAUCUUAUCAUGUCAACAUAAAUAUGAUGUUAAUUGAGAUGUGUGUUUGGUAUUAUUUUCUUGUCUCUUUUUUUUUCUCUCUCCCCAUCUAUCUAAAGUUGUCUUACUCGUGAAUGCUAAGUAUCUUUAUUCUAUAUCUUCCCAGUUUUACCUUGAAGAAGCAAAAGGAAGAGUUGACUAUCAAGGUUAUAUUUUCCCCCGUCGACGUGGGCAAACUGUAAGUAAUUCUAUUAAGUGUUCUGCCUACAAGGCUAGAAGAUAGUGGAAAUGGGAUUACUUGAAACGAGAUAAAGCUCUCUUACUCUUUCUUGCAUCACAUUUAAGGGUAUUUUAUUAUGAUAUUAUGUUUAACUGAACUCCUUAUGGAAUAUGAAGUAACAAAACAUUCAAGAAAUUAUAAACUGAGAAGUAAAUGAUACAGUAAUGCAAUGACUUCUCAGAGUUGAUUCCAACUGUAGAAAGAUGCAAGAAUAACUCAUGAAGGUCGCACAAUUUGAGACUUGAGGUUGUGCAUUGAUGACUUGCGCAAAGAUAUUUGUCUUUCUUUUUUGUUUCUAUUUCCAGUGUCAACAAACAUGCUAAAUCAUAUUUUAACAUUAAAUAUCUUAAUAAUCUCAUUGAGACUCUUGAAGAAUUCAUUACUGUGGAAGCAAAUUCAGAGCUUAGCUUCGAACAUUUUAUGUUCAGUUUAUGGUAAAGAAUGGUUUCCCUAUUUAUAUAUUUUUUUCGAAACCUGCCAUUCUUGAAUAUGAAUUUUUGUCCUGCUCUGACUUGGAAAGUAUUAUGUAUACUAAAUUGCAGCCAGACUCUGAAACCCAGUUGCUUACGAUCCAGUUCGAAUGGAACGGUGUUUUGAAAGCUGUAUCAAGCACUUUAGUUGGAGUGAGCCCAGAAUUUGAAAUUGCAUUGUACACCCUGUGUUUCUUCAUGGGUGGAGAGGACAACCAUAUCGAGCUGGGUCCAUACCAAGUUAACAUAAAAUGCUAUCGCUUCGGAGACAGAAUUGGAUCUGUGUUUCCUAUGGCAUAGUGUUGAUCUCAGGGUUUAAACCAAACAACUUAUUGUCCUAUAAGAUUGAGUUAUGUGUAGGUGAAAUUAUACUGGAAGUACAGGGCAAUGACAAUAAUUUGUAUUGUAGUGUGAUAAGAUUUGUAACUUAUAAUUGAAGCCACCAUUAAGAAUUUUAUGCACCAACUAGCCUUUCUUCGUAAUUCCCCCCCUGCUGAUGAAAAAAGAAAGAAAAUAUCACAGAAAUUCAGAUGAAAACAUUUCUGUAUCAUACUUCAGCUCAGUUGUGUAUACAGGCUGACAGCUGACCAGGCUAUGGAUGCUGCGGAGCUUCUCGCCAUCUCUAAUUCUUCAAUUGCCUUUACUCAUUUCGUCUUCGUUGUGAAGAAUUUCAAAAUUUUAAUUUGACAGAAACCAAAGCAAAUAUCUUCAGCUUUUGGUCUUGGAGAAAGGAAAAUAACGAGAAACUCAAACCUUUUUUUUAUAUUUAAGAAAAAGCAAAUCAGAGUUUGAAUCUUGCAUAAAAACGCAACCAUCCAACAGAAAACGUUUGGUAUGAACUUAAGUACAUUUUGCCCCGAACUGAAUUUCUAAAAAACCAAGAAUUAACAUUCAUAGUCAAUUUUCAUUUCUUUAUUUCCAAAAAUUUCUCACCCACAAUUAAAUAAAACUCAUUCAUAAUUCAUUUAUUAAUAUUUUACUAAAAAUAUUUGAUUUAUUAGGGUAAUGAAUGAUCAAAAUCGGAAUAUAAUCAGGUUAUGAAACCAUCUAUUUGCAUGGGAAUCGAUUUAAGGCCCAAAAGUGACACAUGUCUGGAAAAAAAAUCAGAUUGAAAUAUGAUCCAAAACCAGGGCCAGUUCAGAACCAUAUUUGUAAUCAAAUGGGUUUAUUUAGCCUCAUUAAAACCUUUCUUUACAAAAUCUCCAAAGGAGGAAAACUGCACCAUCGCAGUUUUUCUUGGUGAUUGUACUUGGUUUUUUCCAGUAUCAAUGAAGGCUAUUUUUCCUAAUUAAAAAAAAAGGGGUUAAUUUGGAAUCAAGUGGAUUUUGGAUUAUAAAUUUUACCAUCCUUUUUAAACUAUACGAAUUUGUAACGUUCACAUAUGAAUUUGAAAUCUAUACCACAGACAAAGUAUGUAAUUAUAUUCUAUAUUGAGAAUUUGAAAUUAUUUAUAUAUAGUAAUUACAACAACAAUGACAUGAAAAAUUGAAAGUUGAUUAAGGAGAGUGUAUUCAAUUGAGAUUUUAAUGGAUUGUUUUGAAACUUAAAAAGUAUAGUGGUAUUCAAUUAUGAUUUUUAAGUAAUCAAUAAAAGUUUGGUGGUAUUCAAUUAGAAUUUUUAAAUAAUCAAUGCAAGUCCGGUGGUAUUCAAUUAGGAUUUUUAAAAGACAAGAAAAGUACCGUGGUAUUCAAAAACUUACUGAUUUUAAUGUAUUUCAUUAUUAUGGUGUACUGUGUGAGACUUUUGAGUGUGUGAUAUAAAUACCAAAUCACAUGACAAAUCUCAACCUCCUAUGCCUGAUUCUCAUAUAUACUCUCAUAUCGUUUUUUCCCCAUUAUUUUUUUAUGCUUAUUGUGCAAAAAGAUUAGUCAUAUCUAGGCCUCAUCAUUUGGCCCGCGGGCUCAUGGGCCGAUGGGGGCCCGCUUGGCCCAUCGAAAAAAAAAGCCUGGCCCAGCCCGUUAUGGGCUUUGAGAUGGCCCGGCCCGCCUUGGGUCGGGCUAGGCUUGGGUUUGGGUGUCUGAAGCCCGGCCCUGUCCAUAGGCCCCGGCCUGAUUAAGCCCAAGAAAGCCCGGCCUGGCCCGUCCAAAAAAGCCCGGCCCAUUAGGCCCGCAUACAUAUAUAAUUAUGUAUAAAUAAGAGUUUAAGUUUAGGAUUAUAUCACUUCUAUCACAUAUAUAAUUUGUUUCAUUUCAUCUACUUUUUUUUUUUUUUUUUUUUUUUUUUGAGAAAUUCUAUGAUUGCAUUCAUAAUUCAGCCAAAAAAGUCACUAGCCACAAAGGGCCAAUACAAACUAGUCACAAAAGGGCCAUUACAAUAACGGAGCGGUCUAAUAUCAAAAUUAAGAAAAUCAGGUAUGUCUCCACCAACGAUCAGGCAAGAUCGAAGAAACUCUGGCAUAGGCAUCCCAAUUAAGAUUGCAAACUUAGAAUAAUAAAAAAGAGAUAAAGCUUGAAAAAACCAAGCCAUAACAAUACAAAUAAAACUCUCACCAAGGAGAGAUGAAAAGCUCUCACAAAGGAGAGAUGAAAAACUCUCACAAAAGGAGAGGUGAAAACUACACAGAGAACCCAAAGAGUCUCUGCAACUUAUUCCAAACAUAAAGAAAUUGCAAAAAAGAUGGUGGUGGAGAUCUGACGCCGAAAUGCAGGUGAAGAUCCGACGCUGAGCCGCAGCCGCCAAUAAUGGUUGGAUGCAAAUCAUAAUAAAACUAAGACAAAUAGGGAAAACCCUUUGUCUAGCACAUUAAUUUGUGUCAAUUAUUAAUUCAACAAUUAUAUAUAUAUCACAUCACCAAAUAUAAUCAUAUCACGAAACAUAAUCGUACCACCAAAUAAAAUCAUGCUUUUCUUGAACACAUCACCAAAUAUUUGCAUAUUUAUUCAUACUAUCCUUUAAAAAAAUAUUUUUUUGAUACUUAUUAUUUUUUAAAAUUAUUUCUUAAAACGUAUUACGGUCUAAUUAUGUAAUAACCUCAAAAAUAAUACUUGGUUUUAUUAUUUUUUUGUGAAAAAUCUUAUAAGUUGUGUGACUUUAUUGGGUGUUUUAUGAAUUUGGUCCGAAGUGAACAUAUUGGAAUUAAGUGAGUUUAAUCUCAAAUUUGGACUGAAAUGCCCUUAUGAUUAAGUUUUUGAUUUUUUUUUGAAUGAAGUAGGGCCCGUUUAGGCCCGGCCUGGCCUGAUGGGCUUUCUCAAGCCUGGCUCAUGGGUUGGGCUUGGGUUUUGAAUUUUCUAAAAAAACCCUGCCCACCCCAGCCCGAUAUUUUCUCUCUUCUCUUUAAAGCCCGGCCAGACUUGGCCCAAACCCAUUAAAUUUGAACCGAACUAGCCCAUCCCGGCCCAUUGACAAGCCCUAGUCAUAUCUAGCAAAAUCUAUUGAAAAAUAGAUGAAGAUAGGUAGAACAAACAUUGGGCAAUGCCCAUCCAAACAAAGAUAAAAAUAAAAUAAAAACACGAGUGUAAAGGGUGAAGUCUAUAAUGCAAAAGAUCUAUGGUCACAUGGUAUAGCUUCUUGAAACUUGAGCUCUAAUCAAACUCGUAAUUCACCAGAAAACUAAAGGCAGAAAAUUUCCACUAUAAUUUUUUGGUGCAUCACACAUCAAACUUUUCAAUGGAAUUAAGCUCUAAUUGAAUCAAUGAUUUACCAGAAAGCUAAUUUGAGAAGCAAACUCUCCAACUAGUUUUUUGGUACAUCAUCGACCGACUAGAGCUCACCUCCAGCUUUACCAAUCAAAGGAAGUAAUAAUUUUUGUGCAAACUCUGGUCUAUAUGCAUUAGUAUAUAUAGGGGGUCUUAGUGGAUGCAUAAAGAAUAUUGGCCAAUAUAUAAAAAUAAACAAAAAUAAAUUUCAAUAGUAAUCUACUAAUUAAGCUAACGUCAUUAAUGUUGUGUAUAUUUGGAAUGAUAAUUUUUUUUUGUUGGUAAAUAUCACGAGGUGUCCCCACACCGAAAGAGAGGAUUAAUUCCCGCUCGGGAUUCAGCUUGCCCCUAACCACAAAAUGCUUCCAACAGGUUAGGAAUGAUAAUUUUAAAUUUAAUGAAAUAAUUGUCAUUUUUAAAUGGCAAGUAAUUGUAAAAGUUGUACUGUAAAUAUGUUUCCUAAGGAGUUGAUAAAAAGGUAUAAACAUUGCAAAUUAAAAUUGCUCUGCAUGCAUUCAGUGUACAAUGUACCUAUUAUAACUUACUUUCUAUCAAGGUUUAAAAUAUCGAUGAUUUCAAAAAUAACGAUAGUUCAAAAACACGGAAAUUUCAAUAGAAAAAUCGGGAAAUUAUCGAUAUCGAUAAAAAUGAAAUAAAAAUCACGAAAAUUGUAAAAAAAAAAAAACUUGAAAAAUUUUCUUGAAACUUUCAAGGAUAUUUAUUUAGUUAAUUAUCUAUUACUUCAUCACAAAAAAUUGGAAGGAAAUGCAUUGCAUGAUAGGUUUAAUAGAUUUAAGUUGAUUAUAUAACAUUGCAUCAAAUUUGAGUUAUUUACACUAACAUCCCCUGAGGUUUUUGGCUUUUUCACAAAACUCCUUGAGGUUUUAGAAAUUACAGGAACACUCCAUGACGUUUUAAAUUGUUUUCACAGAACUCAUUUUCAUUGAUCUAAUACAAAAAUUCUCCAAAUGACAAAGUUGACAUUUGAGAUUAGAUUACAUAUACUUCAUUGAGGUUAAUUUUGUCAUUUGCAUACGUUUUUAUUUCAAAUCAUCAAUUUUGGACAAACAAUCAACAAAAAAGGGUUUUGUGAAAACAAACUGAAACCUCAGGGGGUGUUCGUGUAAUUUUUGAGACAUGAGGGGGUUUUGUGAAAACAUAAGAAACCUCAGGGGAGUGUUAGUGUAAAUAACUCUUCAAAAUUUUCACAGUCUUCAUCAUCUUGAUAUUAUCGAUAUUACAACGAUAUUAUAGCCUUAAUGUGGCCAAAUGUUGCUGAAGUGUGAAAGAAAUUAUCGAUGUCAAUAUUUUUCGAUAUUAUCGAUACUUAUACGAUAUGUGUAUGGAUAUGUUCCAAAAUAUCCUAAACCGGAAAAAACGAUCAUAUCCUCGAUAUUAUCGAUAUUUUAGUCCUUGCUUUCUAUUUAGUCAAUUUUCUUUUCUUGUACUUUCCUUAAUUUGAAAAUACUCUAGUGAUGAAUUUUCUUUCUUGUAAGAGAGUGAUUUUGUCUACCAUCUCAUCAUAUUAUAUUUUCCUUAACAGAACUUGCUACAACACCAAUAACAAACAGGUUGGUUUUGUACCAAACACGAAAAUGAAAAAUUCACGAAAAUUUAGAUUAUUGAAAUAUGAGAAGAAAAAAAAAAGUAACCUUGCAAACAUAAUAGACUUCAUUAUUGUGGUGCAAGGUUUUCUACAUGGAACUCGUGAAUAUGGCUCUAAUUGUAUUGAAGGUUGAAUAAUUAGCUAAAAGACUUGAAACCUUUUGGGCAAGGUUGAAUGGUUAGCUAAAACACAAAGGCAAACACCGAUUUUGUGCUUACGCUUAAGAUUUCUCAAAGAAUGUGGCCCUAUUAGCACCGCCAUAUUGCUAAACUUAAUAAUGUACCCUAUUCGCUCUCUUUCUCUAUGAGAACUAAAGAAAAACUCCAUAGAGGAGGAGGAGGAAGAAGUGUCAUUGUUCCUCCUCCCCCUCAUUUCUCUUUGCAUUUUUCUUUUUGGGUUAGUAAAUAUGUCAACUGGGGCGUUUUGAAUAAGAAGCCUCUUGUGGUGAUUUCUUCUGAGCCAUACUCAGAUUGAAGUUUCCCAUAACCUAUUUUGGGCUAUGUUCUCACUUCUCCCAAAACCCGCUCUUUAACGUUGCUCAUAUUAUAUAAAUUUGGUUCUACAUUGUAUUUGACGGAGUUUGCUGCAAAUCAUCCAAUUGUUCUUUGUCAAGUUCUUGUUUUGGCAUAUUUAUACGUUCUUAUGCAUAAGUAAAUCACUGGAAACCAUGCUUUCUUUAGAUCUGUUACGGAUUUUGUUCUCGCUUCAAGAUUUUAUGCUAUGGUGGGUAUGGCUGCAAUGGUGGUUCUUCAUGUGGUGGUGGUAGGUUCAUUUAGGCUCCUGGGUUGCUUUAAGGUUUUGUUUUGGGUUUGUGGGCUUUGUUUGGGAUUAUGCUUAAUUGUGGUGAUGUGGACUAAUAGUUUUAGUGCGGCUUUUGUCCCCUUUAGUUUUGUUUUUAGCAUGUUAGUUUGUUGCCUUCUUGGAAUUUGUGCUUUAGAUUCAUGUUGAUGUUGUUGAUUAUAUAGUUAAAGUUUAUCGAAUGAAGUUUCUCUUUGAUAAAAAAAAAAACCUUUAUUAUAAAAAAUGUACUCUAAUAUAAAAUUGCAUUCGAGGGCAACAUUUUUGUCAAAAAAGAAAAAACAAAGUAGAUAUUGUGGAUUUCGUGCGUAGAUCUUGUCAUGCUUAUGUGGCCAAAUCUAGGCAAAUAUGGUGGCUGGCCCAAGCAUAGGCAACAUAGCUAGGAUUUUAUAUUUUGGGGGCAAAAAUGUCAAACACAAAGUUUAGUUAUAUAUUGUUUUUUGAGCUAUUGAGUAAACUAUUAAAGAACUAGUGAAUACUUCAACUGGGGCAUAAGCCUAUGCCCCCCACAGUUAUCAAAGUUGUAUUCCAAUAUGAAUCUACAUUUAUGAAGAAAAAAAACUAUUCAUUUUAGUUUAAUACUCUUGUAGAUACGGACAUUCUUCAAUAAAUAUUUUAUGUUAAGAAUUAGUUAUAUACUUCUAAUCUUGAUCGUUGGAUUGUAUUCAUUAAAUAUGUUGGUAAUAUCUUAGAUGUAAUUCAAUGGCCGAAAUUAGAAAUAUGUAACCAAUCCUUAACUUAAAUACUUAUUGAAGAAUGUUUCUAUCUACAAGAUUACUAAAUUGAAAUGAGUGGUUUUCUUUCAUAAAUGUAGUAUGAUUUUACUACUAUAUUUAUAUUGGAAUACAACUUUAAUAAGGGUGGGGGCCAUAGGCUUACGUAUAUCAAUUUUUCUUUUUAGUUGUUACCACACCCAAUAUAUACAUUGAAAGGGAUUAAAUAAAUAGUAAAUUGAGCUUAGACCUAUAAAAUUCAUUUUAAAUCACCUAAAACCCUUUCCUUUAGUUUUCUAUUUAAAAUAUCCAAUUUUUUCAAAUAAUACCCGAUGACUAGGAUCCAACUAAACAAGUUACCUAAUAUAACUUAAAAUCUGAUUUAUUGUAUUUUUCGGAUUCCAAAACUACCCCUAUUUAUGAGUUAAUGUGUUAUUAGAGGUGUAACUAAUGACACACGUUGAAUUUGGAAAGAUCUCCAAAAGGUUGUAAUGGAUGUAGGAAUUAAUUUAGAAACUUAUUUGAAAUUAAAUAUUAAAUUAAAUAUUAACGUAUUAGUAAUCUAUUUUACGACUAUUAAUCUACUUUUGAAUUAAUGUUGUUUUCCUUUUAUGAAUUACAGCUAGUAAACUAUUUAACGUAUUAGUAAUUUAAAUUCAAUAUUAAAUUUAGGAAUUAAUGUUGUUUUUCUUUUAUGAAUUAUACGACUAGUAAUCUAUUUUAUUAUAAUUUUAUGAAUAAUAGUGUACAUUUUAAUUAAGUUGAAAAAUAAUUUGAUAAUCUAUUUAUUAUUAUUUUUAAAUUUUUUUUUUUUAAAAUGAACCUAUUUUUUCUCUAAAUAAUGUACCUUUUUUUCUCUAAUAAAGCACCUAUUACUUUUUUUUUUGAAAAAUAAUUUGAUCAUCUUUUUAUUGUUUGUUUUAUGAAUUUUUUUUUUUAAAAUGAACCUAUUUUUUCUCUCCAAAUAAUGUACCUAUUUUUUUCUCCAAUAAUGUACCUAUGUUGAAAAAUAAUUUUAUAAUCUAUUUAUUUAUUUAUUUAAAUGAACCUAUUUUUUCUCUAAAUAAUGUACCUUUUUUUUCUCUCUAAAUAAAGCACCUAUUACUUGUUUUGUGAAAAAUAAUUUGAUCAUCUUUUCAUUGUUUGUUUUAUGAAAACAAUUUUUUUUUUUAAAUGAACCUAUUUUUUCUCUCCAAAUAAUGUACCUAUUUUUUUCUCUAAUAAUGUACCUAGUAAAACAAUUUACCUAUAGUAUAAUGAACCUAUAUUUUUUUUUUCUAAAUUUUGUAUCUAUUUUUUUCUCUAAAUAAUAUACCUAGUAAAACAAUUUACCUAGUAUAAUGAAUCUAUUUUUUUCUUCUAAAUUUUGUAUCUAUUUUUUUCUCUAAAUAAUGUACCUAUUUUUAAUUUAUAAAAAAAAAUGUGCAUAAAUUUCAAUUAUACAACGCACCUAUUUUCUAUAAAUUAUUAUGUACCUAUUUUUAAUUUAUGAAAAAUGUAUUACAAAGUAAUUGACCUAUAUUUUUAUACGUAUAUAUUUAUAUUUAUAUUUUUCAUAUGUACAUUAUUGGAUAUGUAAUUUACAUAUAUAUUUUUUUUUGGUUUGCAAUUUUAGGGGGCAAUAUGUUGGAGGGAAUGACAACCAAAAGAAAUAGGGUGAUUGAUAUUAUAUUAAUAGGGAGUUUUAAUUACAAUUAUGACAGUUAAUGAAAUGCUUGGAAUAAAUUAUAAAUAAAAUAUGAAGUUUGAUGGCAAGGAUGUAAAAACAUAGGAAUACUAUGACCUCUUAUAUCCUACUGGUCAUUUAAGUUUGAAAUUGAGUUUUACACAUAGAUUUAUUGAAUGAUGGGUAUAUGUCUAGGAAAUAGAAAUUGUAGGGGCCUAUAUUGGACAAGCCCUUAAAUAAAUUGGGGGGCUAAGAGCAUCUCCAGGAUAGUCUCUAAAUUUUAGCCAAAUUUUAGCUGAAAUGGUUAGAAAGCUAUUAUAGCAAACUACUAAAAAUGAUCUCUAUUUUGGCUAAUCUAUAAUAUUUUAUUAUUUCUCUCUCUUACUCUCUAAAUUAAAAGUUUAUUAAAAAAUCAAAAAGUAAGAGGUGAGAGAGGGUUGUAGGCCUAGGGAGAGAGAAGAGGAAGAAAUGGAAAACCCUCAAUUUCUCUCUCCUCCUCUCUAAAUGUAAAGAGCCACCAAACUCAAAUAGGGAGUUCUCCAAAAUAGAGAGCCAGAUAGCAAGUCUGCUGGAGUUGCAUUUUGCCCUAAUUCUAGUCAAAAUGGCUUUGCUUGAGAUUCUCUAAGGCCUUAGCAUAGCUUUGCGCCUAUGCCCAAGGAUGGGGUGGGGUAUAAGUUGUGUCCUCCAUGGCUAAUUGGUAUAUCCAAAACAAUUAGUGCAGAUAUAGGGAACAACAUAAGUUUAGCAAGACAUGGGUAUAUCUAGUCGUACUCGAGCAGAUCUAGCUAGCUACACCUGAAUAGCUCUGGACGAAACUGUGGGAACCGAAUUAAAUAUGAACCCUAGGUCAAGUAAUUCCUCCCAUUUCGGGAUUAUUUGACCUAAUUGAAAAUUAUUCAACCUAAUUGGGAAUUACUCAAUUUAAUUAGAGAUUACCCAAUUAAAUUGAGUGUUACCUAAUUAGGUCGAGAAUUGAUUUGAUUCCUACCACAAUUCUCAAUUAUUGGGAGUUACUUGAAUUAAUUGGGAGGUUAUUUGAUUCAGAUUGGGUGUAUUUGACUUAAUUAAGGGUUUGAUUAAUCAAAUCCGUAAAUACACCAACCUCACCAACCUCACUAACCUCGUCGAGGCCUCCUAUAAAUACUUGGCUACGCACAAGGAUUGAGGUACGUCAGAACUACUACUAAAAACUCUGUAGAGAUCUUCCCCUCACAGACCUUAGCCACCUCUUCUCUCUCUCUCUCUCUCUCUCUCUCUCUCUCUCUCUCUCUCUCUUUUACAUAAGGCUCUAACCGCCCGUUUUAUACUAUAAACACAUCUCCGUACCCUAUUAGCUAUUGUUUUCUAUACGAUUCAAUUGAACUAAUUUAGGCAUCGGAGGGCCUUUGGCCAACACCCCCCGGGUGUGGUCCUCUUAUUUGUUCUAUUUUGCAGGGAGAAAAAGGCGGCGAGGAAGAAAGGGGAAUCUUUCCAAUUGAAUAUUCUCGUUGGGAAAUUUGCUCCCACAAAAACUGUACAGAUCUAGCUAGAGUUGUGGAGAUCUAGCUAAAUCGGUGCAGACUUAUAUAGAUCAAGAGAAAUUUAUCCAAAUGUAGAUGAGUAUGGGAAUAUUUAACUUAAUAUGACCAUGAUGACAAAUGCUAAAUAGUCUGCAUAUGUAGUUACAUGUCGACAAAUCUAGCUGGACUUGACCAGAUCUGGCCAUAUCUAAGCCAAAUCUAGCCAGAUCUAGACACAUAUACCAGACAUACAUAGUUGAAUUAGUAAAAUUCUAACCAAAUUGGAGAAAGUCUAGGCGAACCUAGAAAUAACUAGCCAAACAUAGCCAAUCCGGCCAGAAUUGGGCAGAUCUUGUCAUAUCUAGCUAUAGUUGAUAGUCAGAUCUGUGUAGAAAUAGAGGAAGAUGGGUAGAACAAAUAUUUGGAAAUGCCUAUCAAGCCAAAAAAUAAAAUAAAAUAGAAACAAGAGGGUAAAUGGUGAAGUCUGCAAUGCAAAAUAUAUGUGGUCAUGGUGUAGCUUCUUGAAAACCUGAAAUCUAAUCGAAUUAGAGAUUCACCUGAAAACUAAAGUUGGUAAAUGUGCACUAUAAUUUUCUGAUGCAUCACUAAUCGACUAGAAUUCAUCUUCAGUUCUAGCUAUUUUGGUCGUCAACAUCAAUUUUUUCAGUGGAUUCAAGCUUAAAUCGUAUAGAUGAUUUACCAGAAAACUAAGAUGAGAAACUAAUAACUCUAACUAGUUUUUUGGUGCAUCAUCGACUGACUAGAGCCCACGUCUAGCUUUACCAAUUUGGUGAAAAGCAAUAUCCUUCACGCAAACUCUGCCCUAUAUGCACUAGUAUAUAUAGGGUGUGUUAGUGGCUCAUUUGUGAAUAUUGGCCAAUAUAUAAAAUAGAAACGUUAAUGGUAAGCUUCUGCUUCAGCUAAUGUCAUUAAUGCUAUGUAUAUUUGGAAGAGUGCUGCUAUUUUUAUCUUAAUUUUAUUUUUUUAUUCAUCUUAUCGUUCCACCUACUAUGUAAAUUCGAAAAACAGAAUCCUAUUUUUUUACCCACCGUUAUUCCUAAAAUACCCUUUAAUUAUUAAUUUAAGCAAAUUCUCUUUUCUAAUCAAUAGUAGUUGAUAUAUGGAGAGGAUCACGGACUGGAUAAAAGUUUUGAUCUAAUAUUUUAAUUUUUGGAUCGUUUAGGUUUUUUUUUUCUCUACUUAUAGCUUUUGAAAAUAUUGUGGAUAAAUGUUUUAAAGAGAAAGGUGUCAUUUAAAGGGCAAUUUUCUAUUGUGUUCCAUUUGGGCGUAAAAAGAGAAAGGUGAAAGGAAUAGAAACAACACCUUGUAGACCCAAAAAAAGAAUGAAAAUAAUUGAACUACUGAACAUGGAAUAAAAUCAAACAAUGGACUGAAAAAUGAAGCACAUAUAUAAAACCACUUCUUUUUUUCUUUUUCUAUUUGUCAAACGGUAGAAUAGGUGGGUCACGUGAGUUGAGGUUUUUUCCCUAAGUCCUUAGAAGUCAUUUUACAAAGGAAAAAAUUUGUCUUUAAAAUGUUGAAGAUAAGGUGGUUGAAGAAAAAAGACAUUGGGUGAAAAUAGCAACACUCAUUUGGAAUCCCAAUUUUAUCGUUUUUUCGGGACUAGGAUAUUUUGAGACAUAUUCAUACACAUAUCGUAUAAUUAUUGAGAAUAUCAACGAUUAUAUCGGGAAAAUAUUGAUGUCGACAAUUUCUCACACGCUUCAACAAAAUUUGGGAAAAAUAUCACGAUAUAUGCAUGCAAUGGAAAAAAGAAAAAAAGAACCCGUAGCACACACGCAAAGGGGGAUUCAAAUCCUUGCCAUUCCACUCCUCCAACGCCUUAAUCACCAUGUUGCUAAUGUUUAAAAAUAAAGUAAUUGUAAAUGUUGUUCUAGAAAUAUGUUAACAAAAAAUUGAUGAAAAUAUUGUCACAAUAGGAAGUUUGACAGAAAUAAAUUGUUUGUCUUCGAAUUCUUAGAUUAAUCACAAGAAUAGAUAAUAUAAAAAGAGUGCUGCUAAACGAACCCUAAAAUUAACUGAGUAUGCCCUACUACCAAAUUAUUUAUUGAAUUACUCAUUUACUCCAAUAUAAAAUGACCAAAAAGGAUAUCUAAUUUUCUUCUUCUUCUUCAAAAAUUUGAGAGUCCACAAAAUCCUCAAAACCCCAUUUUUAUUUAUUUUAUCCCAUUGCCUUUCUUUUUUACUCUGAACUUAUAGAAAUCAUUUUAUUCUCAAUCCUAUUAUAAUUUAUAAGCAAGUCAGCUAAAACCCCUAUUAUUUUUUCUAUAAUUUUCAAUUGAGAGAGUAAAAUAGAGGUGUUAGCUGGAUUUGAAAUGAAAAGAAGAAAAUAUGGAAGAGAAAAGAAUACACGAUAUUUGCAGUUCCUUUUGGUUAUGUUUGUUAGGGCAAUAAUUUGCAAUGAGAAACACUUCAAAUAAUAAUAAGAAUAAUAAAAACAACUAGGCCUCCUCCAACACCUACACCGAUUAUAAGGAAUUCUACCCUAAACAAAAUGCUCCAUAACCUCAAUCCCACGCGUUCAUCUCCUCCCACCUAUCUCACUCACAGCUUGCUGCCGUCAUGGAAGUAUAUGCGGGAUGGAUUAUUAAUUACGUUGUGAACCAGUCAGAUUGGUGAUCAUUUGAUUGGAAAUAGAAGGGUUUUUUUUUUCUUUUUCUGGCUAAAAUUGGCAUCGUUGAGUGUUAUACUUGGGAUUCCUUGAUUCGAUUUCUGAAGAAGAAGAUAACUAUCGAUGUAGCUUUUGUCCGUUUGGCAAAAAUGUAUUUUUAUUUUUGAUUCACUACCAUAUAUGGCGUGACAGUUGUUUUCAUCAUUGGAUUGUAUUAUAUUUUAUGUGGCAGCUUUAUAUUAAAAGUCAAGCAGACAAAAUCCAAGGAGAUGAUUCAGAUCCAUUAAGGUGUUGUGUGAUAGAGUGUAUUAGGGUGUACUAGGGGUAUUUUUGGUAGUUAAAUAGGGUGUACUUAGUUAAUUUUAUAUUUUGAUUAAAAUAUUAAGGUGUACUUAGAUCAUAUGGUGUACUCAGUUAAUUUCAGGGUUCGUUUAGCAGCACUCUAUAAAAAUCAUCUAAUUAACAUGGUUGCUCAUCGAUUAUUCAAUAGUCAACAAAACACCCAUCUUAAUGAAAUUUCUUUAUUUUUUUUAAACUUAAGUGGUUAAGAGCACUGAUUCUUGCAUCCUCGAUCCUACCCCCUGCAUCUUAAGUAGUUAAAAUUAUUUAUAAUUUUGUAAAGAAAAAAGUUUGUCUCCUUAACUGGGGAGGAGCUCCUUCUUCCCUAAGAGCAUCCACAGUGGAGGGGUGUAUAAUGGGGUAUAUGUUAAAUAUACACCCUUUGUCGCCGGAAUCAUCUCCAAUGGGAAGAUGUAAAUUGUUGGAAAAAUACAUCACAACCAUGGAGAUGUAAAAUUAGAUGCACAUUUGCAUAUUUUUUUUACAUCCUUUGCAAGCGGGACCCACAAAAGAAAAAGGGAAAGAGAAGGAUUGGAAUUCAAAAUGGAAGGCCCAGAUUUCAUGCAAUUUGCAUUGCACUUCCAAUGGCCCAGAUUUCUACAUAGAUAUUUUUAUGUUAAUUUGUAGGUAAAAUAAUACGUUCUCCAAAUUAAAAUUUUUUUGGGUCCAUUUAGUUGGAAAAAUAAAAAUAAUCUAACACACAUAAAAAUAAUUUAAAAAAGUUAAAACACAAAAAAAAAAAAACACAAAAAAGAAUUAUCACAAACAAAUCGAAUAUGCAUCUUUGGAUUUACAUCGUUUUUCAUUGGAGCAAAAAACGUAUUUACACCCCCUGGAGGUGUAAAAAGGAUGUAAAAGUGGCUUUACACCCCAAAAAAUACACCCCCCCACUGUGGAUGCUCUAAAGGUAAAGACCCGUCCCAUGUGGGUGGCAGAAAUGUUCAAAAUGAAUGCUUCACAAACCUUAAUCUAGUCUUUAGUCUAACUCAAGUGGGUGGAAUAAUGUUGAUUGAGUCUAAGUAAAAAUCAGGUCAAUCUCUAUGUACCAUAAAAAUGUAAUUAGCUACCUUGUUUUCUUUUGGUAAAUAAAUUUUUAUUCCUCACAGUCCUAGAACCACAUCUGAAAUCAAAUGGAUUCGUUUGGAAUAAAAUUUAUUCAGCACUAGAAAUUUCAUCAUCCUUCUUUUUCUAUUAAUCAAAAUAUUCUACAAAUCACGGAAAGGGGGCGAGUUAAGUAAAUAAAUUAUAUAUGCAAUUUAUGUACACAAAAACUGUAUGUUCUCUUGUAAGACAGUCUAAAGUUUGUUUAGAUGGACAUAUUCAUCCGAAAAACCCUAGCCACACUCUCUCUUCUUCUCUAAGUCCCAAAAAAAAACUCAAUAGAGAAUAAAUGGGAGGAGGAGAAAGAAGCGUCAUUGUCCUUCCUUCCCUCUCAUCCUCCUCUUCCGUUGUCUUUUGGGUAAGUGAAUAAUUCAUUUGAGCGAUUUGAAUAACAAGCCCAUUAUGCUAAUUUCUUCUGAGCCAUUCCAUCUCUCAAAGCCCUCUCUCUAACACUUCUUAUCGUAUUCUGAGGAGUUUGCUUAAUCUGCCCAAUUGUUUUUUGCCAUGAUUGUUGGAUUGGCAUAUGUGUUCAAUGUUAUACGAAGAUAGAUCGUUGGAAACUAUGUUUUUCCCAUAUUUGUUGCAGGUUUUGAAAAAAAUCUCCAAACGAGGAAAACUGCACCAUCUCAGUUUUUCUUGGUGAUUGUACUUGGUUUUUUCCAGUAUCAAUGAAGGCUAUUUUUCCUAAUUAAAAAAAAAGGGUUAAUUUGGAAUCAAGUGGAUUUUGGACUAUAAAUUUUACCAUCCUUUUUAAACUAUAUGAAUUUGUAAGGCUCAGAUAUGAAUUUGAAAUCUAUACCACAUACAAAGUAUGUAAUUAUUAUAUAUUGAGAAUUUGAAAUUAUUUAUAUAUAGUAAUUACAACAAUAAUGACAUGAAAAAUCGAAAGUUUAUUAAGGAGGGUGUAUUCAAUUGAGAUUUUAAUGGAUUGUUUUGAAGCUUAAAAGUAAAGUGGUAUUCAAUUAUGAUUUUAAGUAAUCAAUAAAAGUUUGAUGGUACUCAAUUAGGAUUUUUAAAUAAUCAAUGCAAGUCUGGUUGUAUUCAAUUAGGAUUUUCAAAAGAUAAGAAAAGUACCAUGGUAUUCAAAACUUACUGAUUUUAAUGUAUUUUAUUAAAUAAUGUAUUGCUGAGACUUUUGAGUGUGUGACAUAAAUACCAAAUCAAAUAACAAAUCUCAGCCUCCUAUGCCUGAUUCUCAUAUAUCUUUCUUCCCCCCAUUAUUUUUUUUAUGCUUUCUGUUGUGCAAAAAGAUUAUUAAAAAAAAAUCAUAAGAGAUACGAUGGCAAGAAGAUAGGAGGGGAGAAUGUGGGUGAUCGGUUGAGAAAUGUAUAGUAUAAUUUAGUUUUCACUGCUAUUACCAGCCACCGUAUAAUAUACUUUCUUCAAAGAUAUUUUUGCACGGUAGCAGCUUCAAAAGGAGUUGAACUUGAACAAAAAAGAUUAACCUCUUCUUCAAGAUUCCAUUGCACGGUGGCUAGGGAUUUUGCAAGGUCAGCAUUUGCAGCCUCCAGUUUAGCCAAACGUACAAAGACUUCCAUUCUAGUAUUAUCAUGUUUCUGCUUCUCUAAAAAAUAAGCAGCUUCCAUGGUUUCCAUAAUGGUAUAAUUCAACAAUUCCUCCUUUUGUACCAGAAAUAGUAAUCAAUAUUUCUGCAUAUGAAUUUUUUGAAAGGAUCUCCAACUGGAAUCCUAAGAAAAACAUUUAUCUACAAACAGAGUAAAUCCAGGGAAAGCAUUAAAGUAGAUCUAUGGAGAAAAGAUUACCAUGGAUGUUUAUGGUCCGAUUUCUAGUAGUGUCUAGACAUGUAUAGUUGAAACUGGACAUACAUAACAGUAUGUGUGAAAUUAUAACCAAAUAUGGGAAAGUCUAGCGGAACCUAGACAAAACUAGCCAAACAUAUGCAAAUUCAGCCACAGACUUGGGCAGACCAACCCAAAUUUGGCUAGAUCUAGUCAUAUCUAGCAAAAUCUGUUGAAAAAUAGAUGAAGAUAGGCACAACAAACAUUGGGCAAUGCCCAUCCAAACAAAGAUAAAAAUAAAAUAAAAACACGAGGGUAAAGGGUGAAGUCUGUAAUGCAAAAGAUCUGUUGUCAUGGUGCAGCUUCUUGAAACUUGAGCUCUAAUCAAACUCGUGAUUCACCAGAAAACUUCCACAUCACGUAUCGACCAUAAUUCAUCUUCAGCAAUAAGUAAUGCUGACAUCAACAUCAAACUUUUCAAUGGAAUUAAGCUCUAAUCGGAUCAAUGAUUUACCAGAAAGCUAAUUUGAGAAGCAAACUCUCCAACUAGUUUUUUGGUACAUCAUGGACCGACUAGAGCUCACCUCCAGCUUUACCAAUCAAAGGAAGUAAUAAUUUUUGUGCAAACUCUGGUCUAUAUGCAUUAGUAUAUAUAGGGGGUCUUAGUGGAUACUUAAAGAAUAUUGGCCAAUAUAUAAAAAUAAACAAAAAUAAAUUUUAAUAGUAAUCUAAACUAAUUAAGCUAACGUCAUUAAUGUUGUG
rnacentral:lncRNA from 1 species